GGUAUGGAGGUAGGGGUCCACACGUAGCGGGCGGACAAAUCUCCGACCGUCUCUGACACGAGGAUGCGGCUCAUCCGUUAACACGUGGGGAAUCGACCAUGUGAAUGCACCCAAUUGACGGUGCCUUCAUUUAUUUAUUUAUUUUGCAAUUGUCCAUCGUAUUUCUAUAUUCUCCAUUGUUUUGUCCUUAAAGAAAAUGUCUAUUCAUCUUUAAGAUCACUGCUUUACUGCUUUUAGACUUGUAUUAAAAUUAAACUGUAGUCCAGAAUACUUUGGACAUGUUGUAUUCUUAUUAAGUCCACUUUUACCAAGAACCGUGAUAUGGCCGCCAACCUCUUUUCCAAAUGACAAACCUGUCCCUCAUUCCAUCGUUGACCCAUUAUUCUUGUGUCCUAAUUUUGACCAAUAUGGUUCAUGCAUGCCCCUCUCUCUUCGCUUUUUUAUUUUUUAUUUAUUUAUUCUCUUUCCCCAUUAUUAAUUCUUUGAAAGUUGCUAGUUUUAUUUUCAUAAUUUUUAUAUUUAAUAUGGAUUUUUCCUAUGAGUGAACCAUUUUCUCAGUGUUUUUUCCACAUACUUUUAUCAACUGAUGAGACUCUCAAUGGACGGGCAUCCACAUUCAAUGUUUCUCAAAGCUAAUUAUUAUAAAAGCAUAUUCUUUACCACACGAAUGUGACCAAAAAAAAAAAAGGGUUGAUUUCAUUUUUGUCUAUUGCCACGAUGGUAACCUGAAAUUCCUGGAUGGAGACACAAAAUAUUUUAGGCCACCGUCACUUCCUAACAAAACAUGCAUAUCUUAAUAGUUGCGGGCAGUGAAUCAUCAAAAUUACCCCUUAUCCAGGAGCUCAAAACACGGAUAGAGCAGGGGUAAGAUCGUCUUCAAAGCCCCUCCAAACAUUAACUUGUCUUAAAAUUUCAAAGAUUCCAAGUAUUUAUAAUUAGUGUUGUGGUCUUGUUGUCGAGGGCAACUUACAAGAGAAUCACUGAAAUUUAAGCCAUAAAAAAUGUACUGAAAGUCAUGAUCAUGUUUCCCUGCAAUUUGACAUGAAAUAUCACGAUGAAUAUCUGUUGCAUUUUUUUUUUCUUUUUUGGCUUUCUGAACUUGAGAAAUCUGAAGAUGCUCUAAAAAUUUGAAGACAAUUAGAAGACAUGAAUUGAGUAGAGUGGGUUGCUUUACUGGGGAAGGAACUCAUGUUCCCUGAAUGAGCGUCAAGGCUUUUUAACUAACAUUUCAACGUGAAAAGAAAAACAGUGUGUUUUUAUUUAGUUGAUAGGUUGAUGUGAACAUGAUAUUCAUCGAAUUACUUAAUCCGAAGUUCCUUACCAAGUGAUGAACUCGGUUGGUAAUAUGCAUGGCCAAUUUCUGAUGUAGUUAUUCUUUUAGAUUAUGACUCAGAACGGGGCAGAGUGGAACAUUGUAGGGGGAGCAAAGAGCCAAACCGAGAAUCCUCAAGCUGCAGAGAGAUAUGGAUGGGGUUGAUCAUCAAUUACCAUUGGGAAAAUUCACCCCCAAUUAUUAUGCGUGAGUCUGCCAAAAAAAAAUGAGGUGCAUUUAUUGAUUUUUGUCUGUUGUUUUGUCAUCCCAGAAAGGUUAAGACAUUGGAGGGUCCCAUGGUAUUAGGGGAGCCAUGUUGACCACCAUGGAUUUCGUGGAAUCACUUGGAAGCUGUGACAGAAGGCAAGGUGGUUUGCGACCUUGGGUUGUGUGUUUUACGGGCCUUAUGCUGCCUUCCCUCUUUUUAUUUUCUUACACAGCAUAAUGGACUCAUGGUUCUACCCUCUGUCUCAGGGCACUGUUUUAUUCUGCCACUGCGAUUUCACACUCGAAAGCAAAACUUACAUGAUGAUGAUGAUGAAUGACAGUGCUAUCAUUGGGGCUACCAUCUCCUUUUCAUCAUGAGCUUCGUUCAAUUGUUAUUCCCCACAUGUUCAUGAAAAUUUGAGCUUAAUUGGGUCCCCUGAACUCACAUUCUAUGACACAUUUCAUCAUGUAUUAGUUAAUUUUUUAUCAAUCACCUCACAUGAUUUCCCAUUCCAAGUGCCAAAAAUAGAAAAAGCAUUUGAAUUAACAAGUUUUUGAACUCGUAGGCACAGUUGCGAGCAUGCCAUAUCUCAGACUAAAUCUUUAAGUUUGAAUUUUAAGUGUUUCACCAUUUUUAGGAAUUUGGCAAAGCAAUUAUCACUUGCACCCUCACAUUUAUGUCCAAGCAAUAAAAUUAGUCUCACUUUAAUAUUUGUUUAUAUUGCCUCUAGUGAUAGACUCAUCUAGAAUUAACUUAGCACUGAAUUAAAUAGAAGAGGAAUCAAGUUAAAGCGAAACUUCUACCUAACACUCGUUGAACUUUCGGCGAAAAGAUUAGACAUUAGUGUUCUAACAUGCUAGCUGUGAUUGAAUUGGCCAUGAAGGAAUCCGAUAUAUCUGACUUAUUAUUGGCUCAAGUGUAGUCCUCAAUCCCCCACUUACUCGUAAAUGCAUUAGUGGAAGGAUUAAGUUUAUAUUAAGACAACAAUUUAAAUCCAGGUGGCCAAAGAUUCUUGAUCAUCCAUCAAUGAUGGAAAGGAAAGACGCAAGCUGGUUCGAUUUAACUAAUUAAGUAAUGAUGUUAUGUGCAUGGACAUGCCCGACAUAUGGAAGUGAAUGGAGAUUAUUUAAAAAGAUGUACAAAACAAUAGGAAGUGAACGUGGAUAUAAUAAUAGGGCAAGGGACAAACUUCUGUAUUACCUGGGCAAGUGGGUAUUUGUUGCUUUCUCAGGUUGAUCAUCCUUGUAAACAUUUCCGCAUGCGCUUUGUUACUUAUUUUCCGAUGAUAUUGUCUUUUUUAUCACACUGUUCCCUUGGUAAUUAAUUUUUAUUUUUAAUUCAAAAUGUGCAUGUUAAAUUUGGCUAAUUCAGUAACUUUUAACUGAGACAAGAUUACGGGUAUACUGUCAUUUUGUUCACAUGAUUUAAGUUCAUUUUUGGGGCACCUAGCAUACUAGACAACCCACAAGGUAGCUGGGCAGUCAAGGCCGUAGCUCAAGGACGUAUUGCAAGUUGCAGGGAGUUGGGUGGUUCCUCUAGUCUAUAGGUAAGGAGAAGAGAAUCUUGCGUACAUCCCACAUUUUGUAAUCAAUUAUUGUUAUGAAUACGUCUACAAUAUUUCCCACUUCAGCUGGUAACUCUACAGCGGAUAUCCCACUAGCAAAUUGAGCAAUUAUGUCGGUAAUCAUAUCGACCUGAAUUCUCAUGGAAAGUGCUUUAUAUUAAAGGGAAAAUGGAAAAAGGUUAUUUGUCUUCACCUUCACGCUCCUUUUCCUUUUUCCUUUUUCAAGUGGAUCAACAGCUUGAUAAUUGGGCAUUCUUAAUCACUCUUUGGGUAUCUUACAUUUGGUUUCAGAGUCCUACCAUUACUAAUUUUACUAUAGGCAGCACCUGAGGAUCCCUAAUGAAGUAAAAAAAGGAAGAGGGAGCGAAAUAGGGAUGCAGCGGGAGUAUUCGAGAAGAUAAGGAGCUAUUUCUAGGCAAUAUCCUGUUGCAGUUAUAGUGCCGUCAUGUUGUGUCAAAUCGAAGAUUAUUCCACCACUGCCCGGUUUGGAAGUCCGAUCAACCUUGGAAUUAAUCAUCUUAUAAAAGCGGAAAAUUCUAGGGUACCUCUUCGGUACCUACCCAAAAAGCUUUUCAAGCCAUUGGAUGUCCAAGAUUACAUCUUGGCCAUCCAUUUUCAAUUUAAAAUAAAAACUCCACUUAACCGGUUAAGGGAAGAACCGGUUGUGGCAUUCUUUCUUCCUCCAUUCUCAACAAUUUUGGGUUUAAAUAAAAUAAAUAUUAGAUAAAAAUAGAAUUGGAAAAAAAUAAAAAAUAAAAUGAUAUAAAAUUUGAAAACAUAUUUAUUAACAAAAAAAAUCAUCAUAUAUCAUAAUUACAUUAUUUUAUUUUUUAAAAAUUAUUAAACAUUUAAAUUCAACAUAAAAAUGAAUAUGGUAAUAUUUUAAUAUGAAAUGAGUAUUUUAAUAAAAAUUCAACAUUUUGGUAAUCAUAUGUAAAGUUUAGGUAAUUAGAUCGUCCUAAUUUUUUUCUACUCUCCAAAUUUUACAUUUUUUGAAUUUAAGGUUUUUAAAGUUAAAUUACAAUAAAAUAAAUUACUAAUACUAUUUUAAGUUACUAAUGAUAGUAUUUUCGAAAAUAAAUUUGUAAUUUCAAAAAUUUUAAAACUAAAAAUCAAUAUGAAAAAUGUGAUAAAAGUACCAAACAUGUAUUUAUCACAUUUUUCAUACCGUUCUCAUAUUUUUCGUACCCUAAAUUAUUUAUAUUUUUAAAAUUUUAGAUUUACUUUUUAACUUGAAAUAACAAUAACAUAGUUUAAUAAUAUUAUUUUGAGUUAUUAUUGAUAGAAUUGUUAAAAAAAAAAAUUAAGCAUUAAAAAAAAAUUUAAUUGGAAAUAAUGUAAAUUAUCCUAAAAAAUUUAAAAAUUAAAACACUAAAAAAUUAGAGAGGAUAUGAAAAAUGGAGAAUUACCCUUAAGGGUAGGCUUGAGAAAAAUAUAACUGAUGAGGGUGGGUAAAUUUGAUAAUUAUUGUGAAGGGUAGGGUAAAAUUAUGAUAAUUCCUCCAAAGACCUUAUUUUGUUUAAAUACCAAGAUUACCCUUAAUAAGUGAAAAGCAACAGCAAAGUGAAAAAUAACAGGAAAGAAAAAAGAGUUUUUUUCUUUAACCUACCUGCAACUUGUCGAUGUUGUAGAAGAAAAAAAGGAAAGGAAAAAGGUCCAGCACUUUAGGUCAUUAUCUGCAACCGUUUACACAAAGCUUGUUUUUUUUUGUGAAUCUAGCAAGAAAUCCAUUAAAGGUAAGUUUUUUUUUUUUAAAAUACCAAAAAAAAAUGUCAGUUUAUGGAAAUAAAUAAAUAAAUAAUUUAAAAAUCGGAUUGAAUGAAUGAAAAGUUAAUAAUUUUAACAAUGUAGUUGUAAAAUAUUAGAUCUAAAAUAUUGAAGAAGGUUUUGAGAAAGAAAUUACAUUUUUUUUUUGUGUAAAAUGUUAUUUAAAUUUAUUAUUUUGAAUUUUUUUUAUAUUAUUUUGGUCAUAUUGAAGAUGUGUUUUUAUUUUUAAUUUAUUUUUCGAGUGGGUUGUUUGAUAUGAUUAUUAUUGAUUUCCAUUGAAAAGGUUUGCACUUUAGUUUUGUUGUUAAGACUUUUUGACAUGAUUGAAGAAAAAAUGUUCUCAGUUGUUUUAUGCUUGUUUGGGACCACUUUGUUUGUGUAUUUAUGAACAAUAUUUGGAUUUUCAUUGAAAACUGAAAUCCUCUUUGUACGAGACCACUUUGUCUUUUAUUAUGAAUUUGUUAAAGAGUUAAGAUCACGAUAUUUUCGUUAUGAAUUUGUUACCUUUUUGUAUAAGUAUUAUUUUGGUAUGAUGAGUUAAAUGUCUAGUAGUUUGAAGGUUGUGUAAAAGAACCAUUACUUCAGUUAUAAAGUAUAAGUACAAUACAAAUGCAAUAUAAUUACUUUAGUUGAAUGUCUAGUACCCUCUCUUAGAAAGUUCGUACCCACUCUUAGAAAGUUCGUACCCUCUCUUAGAAAGUUCGUACCCUCUCUUAGAAAGUUCGUACUAUCUCUUAGAAAGUUCAUACCCUCUCUUAGAAAGUUCGUACCCUCUCUUAGAAAGUUCAUACCCUCUCUUAGAAAGUUCGUACCCACUCUUAGAAAGUUCUCUUAGAAAAUUCGUACCCUCCCUUAGAAAGUUCGUACCCACCUUUAGAAAGUUCGUACCCUCUCUUAGAAAGUUCGUACCCUCUCUUAGAAAGUUCGUACCCUCUCUUAGAAAGUUCGUACCCACUCUUAGAAAGUUCGUACCCUCCCUUAAAAAGUUCGUACCCUCCAUUAGAAAGUUCGCACCCACUCUUAGAAAAUUCGUAUCCUCUCUUAGAAAGUUCAUACUCUCUCUUAGAAAGUUCGUACCCACUCUUAGAAAGUUCGUACCCUCUCUUAGAAAGUUCAUACCCACUCUUAGAAAGUUCUCUUAGAAAGUUCGUACCCUCCCUUAGAAAGUUCGUACCCACCUUUAGAAAGUUCGUACCCUCUCUUAGAAAGUUCGUACCAUCUCUUAGAAAGUUCGUACCCUCUCUUAGAAAGUUCGUACCCACGCUUAGAAAGUUCGUACCCACGCUUAGAAAGUUCGUACCCUCCCUUAGAAAGUUCGUACCCUCCCUUAGAAAGUUCGUACCAUCCCUUAGAAAGUUCGUACCCUCCCUUAGAAAGUUCGUACCCUCCCUUAGAAAGCUCGUACCAGAUCUUAGAAAGCUCGUACCCACUCUUAGAAAGCUUGUACCCACUCUUAGAAAGUUCGUACCCUCCUUUAGAAAGUUCGUACCCUCCCUUAGAAAGUUCGUACCCUCCCUUAGAAAGUUCGUACCCUCCCUUAGAAAGUUCGUACCCUCCCUUAGAAAGUUCGUAUUUAAAUGUCAUUACAUAUUUAAAUGUCAUUUAACAUGACAUUUCUACCUACAAUAGUUAUAUGUAAAUGGAAAAAAAAAAUCAAAUGUUACCUUUUAACACUAGUAAUCACUUGACAUCCUUCAAGACAUAUAAAGCUUCAUCUUCAAAUUUAAUCUAUGAACAAAAAAAAAAAAUUAUAUAAAAAUAUUAAUAACAAUUUGAUAACAAAAUUUUAUAAUAAACUCAUAAAAAAUUCUAAAAUCGUUAUUUAACACCACAUUUCUUCCUACAACAAUUAUAUUUGGAUAAAAAAAUAUCAAAUAUUACCUUUGACACUUGUAAUCACUUGAAAUCCUUCAUCUUCUUCAUAUAAUACAAAUUUUAAAUUUUCUCUCUCAAAAAGUUUUGAACUUGAUCUUGAAAUUUGAUUCAUCAAAAUACAUCUUACAUAUUUUGUAAUUUGGUAGUUGAAAUUAUUUAAUUUUCAUAUUAAAUUACUAUCCUUUUUUUUAUAUAUGAAUAAUGAGAGUAUAAGAGUAGUAAGUAAGAUUUUCUUUUUUUAGAUAGAGUUAGGUAAUGCAUUAAAUAACAAAUUAUAUUUGAUAUUUAAUAAUAAAUUAUAAAAAAUUGUAAUAUUUAGAUAUAUAUGAAAUGCAUGUGAUUAUUUCUCACCAACAAGUCAUCUUUACCGGUUUGAUAAGUUUUUAUAAAUUUUUUAGUGAUAUGUACUUUACACAUGUCAUAUUUUUAUUGGGGUCAAAUGUGAGUAGGUACCUCCAAAAUGAAGAGUGGGUACCAUAGAACAACCCUAUAAAAGCAAUAAAUACUCCGUCACAGUUAUUGUACAAUAAUCCAAUCGUCAAACUUCAGACAUUAAGUCCUAUAUUAAAUUAAGAUAUUUUAAGCUUUUUUUCUUUUAUGGCUUUUUGGAUUUUUACAUUUAAGUCAAAUUAAAAUAAAUGGAAUUGGGUUCAAAAUCUGUCUUAUGAAAAUUUUAAAAUUCUUUUUUAUUUUACUUGUAUUAAGUAUUGAUAUUUGUAAAAAUUUCAAAAUUUAAUUUAUUUUGAAAAGUGAAUUAUCAAUUUAAUUAACAUGUGAUAUAUCAUAUUAUUUUUAAAUUUGAAAGAUCCAGUUCCAGUCUUCUAGAGCUUAACACAACGAUGGUUACUGUUAUUUUGCCCCCACACUAUAGGGUGGAGAGACAGAUCGAGAAAAGGAAAGGAAAUUAAAAAAAUAAAAAUAAAAUAAAGGAAAAAAAAAAAAAAAUUCAAACAUUCCGAAAGGUGAAUUGAUUCAGUUAAAAGUGGACAGGCUGUGAAAUCAGGAGAUGGCAGGUCACCCUCACUCUUUUCAAGUGGAACUGACUAACAACUAUGAAAACCAAUUUAAUAUGAAAAAACAUGUGUAUAUUUAAAUUAAAGGCGUUUACUGAGGCAGACUGGACAGGUGAAAGCGUACGACUGGACGGACGCUCCCACACGUAUGUCUAGUGCUAGUGCCCCAAUGGGUGUAAGUAUUCAACAUCAACGGCUCAGGACCACCGUCGAAGAUCCCAUCAGGAUCCGAUUUUACGUCUGUCCCACUCUGUAACUCGUCGGCACGCGGGGCUUACCCCUUUUUGUCCUUUUCCCCCUCCGUUUCGGCUCCAGUGCCGCCGAGACGCUCACCACUCCCUAUACUCUCCUCCUCGUUUUCUCUUCAUUUUGUCGCGAUAUUUUAAUCAUAUAUUUCUACGAUCUGCCAUACGUCAACGCCUCAUUUUUACUAGCAACGCCCUCAGGUGUAAUAAGUCACUCCCUUGACUACCUUUAGGACAGCUGGCGAAAAUAAGGCAUUGGAAGAAGACGACAUUAAAAAAGUUACGUGUCGAGCUAGACUACAGCCACGUUUUUGCCCUUUUCUUUUUCUUGGUUUAACGCAAGAGGUUAAAAAUACGGCGGAGUUAGUUAUUAUUGACGGGGAAAGUGUUUUGUUUGUUUAAGAAACUGCAAUGGAGAACACCGGAUUGUUAAGGUAGCUUUAGUCAUUUCAUCAUUAAUUAUAGAUAAUCGGUAAUGGCUUCGUACGUAGGGGAAUCAUAUUUAUGGGAAAUGCAAACCGGUACCAUACCUAUUUAUUAUGAAAUAAUCUAGAAACCCAUUUUUGGAAUAAAAAAUAAUCACAUAGAGAAAAUAAUUUUUAAAAAAUACGCUGUGUCUUUAUAAAAAAGGAAAAAAAAAUCUCAGCCAUACCUGUCUAUUUUAGUGGGGUUGUUUGGGCAGAGAGAAAUGAAAUCCGGAGUACGCGUAGCUUAGCACAUUGUUAUAUCAAGUUUGUCGUUUGUGAGUUAGAUUGGGAAUUGGGAUAUGGGAUAGAUGGAGAUGAGAAUGCAAAUUGAGGUGAAUUAAAAGGAUGAUUUUUAAAACAAAGGGUGUGGGGGAGUGAGGGAGGGCAGGCGGAAAGCUUGGGAUGGACCAGCGAGGCAGGGCUAUUGUCGCGAAUCCUGUGACUGAGGGUCUCUGGUUGUUUGCUGUAAAAUUAAAAAAGGCGAGUGGUAAUGAGUGAUACAUGUACAUACAUAUGCUCCAAAUAAAUUACAUAGCCGUCGUCUCUCUCUACCCUCCACUACUCAUUUCACCUUUUUCUGUCUUUACAAUUACAGGGGUGGUACUAAAAGGAGAUGACCCUCUUACUCCACGCUCACUACAUUGCUUCUUCUCUAGCCAUUUUCACGCCUUGUUAUUUGAUUUAUUAUUCCAUGUUGUUAUAAUAAUUUGUUUAUCACCACCAUGCCUCGAUAUCGUAAACCUCAGAUUUGAAUCGGGAAGUAUCCGCAUUCCUUCCUCUUUCUCUCUCUCCCCCCUCUUCUGUCUCCUAUAUUUGUACCCAACUUCUCUCCCCUUCAAGCUCCCUUUGAUGUACACAUGUAGUUGAGAUCUCCUCAACUUUUCUGGUUAUAGAUUUCAAAGCUGUUUGAAGAUUCGAGCUUCAUUUUCCACUCUUUCUGUUAUUUUGUUUCCUUUGUGACAGAUUUUGCUGAUGGCACAUAAAAAUCUGCACGAGCUGUUGCAGGAAGAUCAGGAGCCCUUCCUUCUGAAGAACUACAUUGCAGACAGACGUUGCCAACUCAAGCGACCCCUACCCAAGACCCGUAUACAACUCAAGAAACGAAAACCCAUCUCAGAAACCUCGAGCUUUUCCGGAAAUUUCUGUAAAAAUGCAUGCCUUUUCUCCUUCCACGACUCGCCGGACGUCAAAAAGUCCCCACUUUGGUCCCCGGCCAAAAGCCCCCGCAAAAACUCAAAUGCCAUUUUCCUCCAUAUCCCCGCCAGAACAGCAGCUAUGCUUCUUGAAGCUGCGCUGAGGAUUCAAAAACAGUCUUCUCCAAAACCCAAAGCCCAGAACAAGAACGUGGGCUUUGGUAUAUUCGGGUCUAUAAUGAAGAGACUAACUCAGCGUAACCGGAAUCGAAAGCGCGAAAUCGAGGGUGAUGGUCUUAGGGUUUCUGUGAAGGAUAUUCUGAGGUGGGAUUCGUCGGUUGGGCGUAAAAAAUUCACGGAAGAUUUCAAGAAUGUUUCAGAGGAAAUGGUGGGAGUGGAGGAGAAAAGUGCUUCUGAAAUGGGGUUUUCAUGCUCUUGUAACGGAAGACUUAGUAGUGUUUGGUCUGAGAGCAAUGAAGAGAAGUCUUUGGACAUGGAGACCUCUAGCAGUAGCCAGUCCGAGGUCUCUGCAGAGAUUAUUGACUUCGUAUCUAAAGAGAGACAAAAUGGUGAUUUUGCUUCUUGUGAGAAGGAUUUUUGUACAAGCCCCUUUCGCUUUGUUCUUCAACGGAGCCCGUCGUCAGGACGCCAUACGCCAAACUUCUCCUCGCCGGCAACAUCCCCAGGUCGCCACAGGUCUCAGGUUUGUUCGAUUUCCAUUUUGUCACUUUUAUUAGUCCUUCUGAGUCGGCUGGGUGAGCGAGUUGGGGCACAACUCGUGACUCACUCGGGUAAAGUCGCCCAAAUUGGGAAUGCAAACUCAGCCACUCGUCUGAGUGAGUUGAGCGUGUUUGAAUUGUCGGCAAAGCAAUCUCUCGUUCUGCUUCGUUGGCCGGAAUGUCGUUGCUAGAUGACAAGUAUACCCAUUUAUUCCACCGCCAGAAGCAUAGAAAAUCCCAAACUUGAUCAUGGACAUAAAUGACAUUUCAACGUUUGUCAGCAUGAACCCUUGUUGUUUUGCAUAACUGUACUUUAGAUCACGUCUCUGGCAUGAAAAUCUUUUUAUUAAGACCUUGCCAUACAAUAAUUUCCCGAUAGAGGACAAAUCGAAUUUUUGUUUUUUCAGGUCGAUAUGUUUUGCAACAGAAUUGUUAUGAUUAAUGGUUUGCCUAAAAGAUUAAAGCAGUCAACAUUCACUUGUUGAUAGGCAAUAAUUGAAUUAUAGUUUAAUCGCAUCUGUAAUGAUUCUUCAUCCAAUUAUUAUUAAAAGCAGUUCGAUUCCCUUUACAACUGUGGUCAACUUCUGAGCAUUGUGAAUUUUAACAGGACAAAGAGAACAACUAUGAAGGAGAGAGCUUAAUAGAAGAAGAGGAAGAAGAGAAGGAACAGUUCAGUCCUGUAUCCAUAUUGGACCCUCCCUUCGAAGACGACGAUGAUGGACACGAAGGAGAUGAUGAUGGUGAUGAUGAUGGCAGUUUUGAUCUUGAAUGCAGCUACGCCAUUGUACAGAGUACGUAUCAUUAUUUCUGUGGCAUCUUCAGCUUUUAUCGUCCUUUUCAAGUGAUGCUGUUACCAUUUAUUUGUGCGUUCGAACUUCGAUGUUGGUUAAAAUGGAUUUUGAACAAUGAAAUUGAAAUCUAUGUCAGAUGGCAUUCAAGCACUGUAGGUGAAUGGGACUUGUACCAUGGGUUUAGGCUGCACAUCCACUUGUCCAUGAAACCGACUUUACUUCAUAUGUUUAUGGGUGUCCCACAUUUUAAUUAAAUGGACCAAAGGAAAUGAUCAACCUAGCUUUCGGUUCUAUUUCUUUUCUGGGGAUGGCUAUGUUCAUGUGACAGUUGUCAGAGUCUUAAAUUUAGUGGAACCAAAUUCAUAAUGAGUAUAGCCCUACUUACCUGCUGUGUGUUUAAAGCGUAAACCGGAGGUCUCCUGUACUUUUCUCUUCUGCAAACUGACUUUCCAUUGUACUUUGUUACAUUUUUUCCUCAUGACUCCCUUAAUUAAUGCACAAAGCGGGUCAUUGGAUGAUUGUUUAAUCCUUUUGUUCCAUGGUGUUGGAUUUACAGGAGCAAAGCAGCAGCUACUACACAAGCUUCGUAGAUUUGAGAAAUUGGCUGAGUUGGAUCCUAUUGAGCUUGAGAAGAGGAUGCUAGAAGGACUAGAUGAUGAUAACAAUGAUGCGGCCCAGUGGGAUGCAGAAUCAGAGGAUUGUGUAGAUGAUGAUGAGUCAAUAGCAUCAGAUAGGGAAAAGAAGGUAGAUGAUUUUGUAAGAGAAGUCCUUAACAAAUCAGGGUUCCACCAUUUUCAGGGAAUUCCCCAGGACAUGAAGAGACUGGUGUCUGAUCUCAUUGCCCAGGAAGAGAGAGAACAACAGUGCUCAAGGAGUAGGGAGGUGGUGGUGGAAAGGGUUUGCAAGAGGUUGGAGUCUUGGACAGAGGUGGAAUCCAACACCAUUGACAUGAUGGUGGAAUUGGACUUCAGAAGAGAGCUUAGUGGGUGGAGUAAAAACCAGGAGCAGGUUGACGAGGCGGCAAUAGAGAUUGAGCUAGCCAUCUUUGGGCUACUGGUGGAGGAGGUGUCAGAGGAACUCGUUUGUUUAAAAGGAAUUUAAUGGGGAGACUUUCUAAAGUUCCUCUGUUCAACCUAAUUGAAUUUUGGUUACAAAUUAAUCUUUUAUUUUUUCAAUUUUUAAGUUUGAUUGGAGGAUCAUAGUCUGACUUGCAGUGUCUAGGAAAAUGACCCAACAAGGAUCUUAGUUAGAUGGUAGCAUGGUAUUAUGUAUUUGUAUCAUGUAUGUAUCUUACUUGCUUUAUGAGACAUUACAUGUACAUCGCAUUCCUGGUGCCGCCAACUCUCAUUCUCUCAGCAGUUCAAUCAUAUACUAGUUAAAAGGCUACAAAACAUGCUUAAUAACAAGCGCGGGAAGGGCCGAAGGGGGGUGGGUGGGUGGGUGUUGGGUAAUCUGCCUGGCUUCACUGGGAAGCCAAGUCCUAGAUGAAAUUUGAACACGGAAUAAGGUUGAGGGGAGGUCAGCUGAAAACAACUUCUACCUAUUUGCUUAUUAUUUUCUUUGUUUUUAUAUGAAGGGUUGAAUGACAUCCCGUGUCCCAUCUUUUUUUAAUACUUCUUUUUCUAAUUUUUCCACACGGUCAACCAUCUGAAAUUCCAUGUAGUUUUUUCACUGACUGGCCUCAUGUUAUGUCUUUACAUCAAUGACAAUAAUGUGUAGGACAUUUUGUAAGAGCGGGGGCUCACGCAUCUGCUUUUGGCAAAGUUAUUAGUGAUAUGACACCCCAUCUACCAUACAUCUAAUGCCAAUUGCCCAAAUGCAAAAUGAUAAGAGGGAUUAUGUCAUGUCGUUAUCUUAUUAUUGCAUGGGACAAUGGUUUUAAAGGCAGUUUUAAUUUGCCUUCUCCUUUUGGCCAAAAGAAAAAUUAACUAGAACGAAUCAUACUACAGUUAGAACAUUUAAUUUGAGCAAAUUAAUUAGGGGCGAGAUAACUGCCCGUUCUUACAAUACCAAAUUGUAACAUCAAGUUGAAAAACUAUACCGCGGCUUACACGGAAGUCGUGCAAUGUGGAUAGCAGUCUAGCAGCUAGCAGCUUGCUGGUAAUGUUGUGGAAGCAGCAUUCAAUCAUGGCCCCCUAUAUGUAUUGGUUCCAUACGCAGAUAUCAGAUGGGAGCUAGAGAUAAGAUAGAGUACGAAAAAGGGUAUUCAAAGACCUCAAUUACUGUACUACACCUACCAGGAAGAGGAUAAGCCCACCUCUCCAGUCUCCCAUCCAAGUGAGACUCUAGGCACUGUACUAGGCUCAUUCAAAAUUUUUCUUCACUAACUUUCCAUUUUUUAUUCUCUCUGCUCAGCCUAAACAAUUGAUUGGAGUUUCAAGCGCAGAUGGCUUGAACUUUUCUCACUAAUUGACUCUAGCAGCAACAUACCUUGCUUUUCGAUUUAGGACAGUCAUACCUGAUCUGGCAACUUAUUUAUCCAGCCUAUCCACAGCAAUACAGGAAAAAGACAAUAGUUUGAAGUCUUUUAGCAGCCUAAUAGUCCAUGUUUACAUCAAAUCACAUUUUCAUUUUACCCAAACAAACAAAAAGUUGGAGGAAAAACUCAAUUUCUCCUUAAGAUCAUAUUGGAAAGUCGUACCUCCCCCAGCCAAAACGGGAACCAAAUGUGUAUAUGCUUGUAUUAUAUGAUAAUUGGGACAAGUGAUGUUUCAGCUGAGUGGUCAAUUUAUCUCGCACUUGAGAUUGCUUGCCCCAAAGACAUGACUUACAAGAGUUUAGAAACAGUGAGUAGCUAAUAUAUUGAUUCUGUGGCAGGGAAGACUGAAGAAUAGCAUUGGAGUAAUUAGUUUGAAUGCAAUGCAAUGUGGUGAGAUGGUGAGGUACAAUUUGCUAGUAAGUUGGAACAAAAUUGCAGGUGAUUCAGUGGAAGAGGAAGAGCAUAAAUAAACCGCUUUUACAGCCAAGGAACCUUCACAGAAAAUGAAAAUUACCUUUCACAUACCUCCUGUGACUAAUUUUCUUGUUACAGUGGACUGAUGCAGUUGAAAUGCAAUAUUAUGCACAGAGCUCUCCUCAGCUAAGAUAUCGGUACAUUCACUGGUUUCCCAGUACUAUAUUUCCACCAGGGAUGUGGUCCAGUCCCUCCCCCAUACUAGCCCACCUGCAAACAUAUAUAAUUGAACUGUACCAUGGUUGAAUAAUUUGAACUCGGAUUGGGGUGUAUGCAUAGAUAAAUCAACUACUGCAUCCAUUUUCAUAUUCAGCAUUUUAUCUCCGAUUGGCAAGGUUUGUACUGUCACGACGAAAAGACAGUUCUCAGCUGCCAUCCUACUCCAAAGCCCACCCCUGACCAAUAUGUUCGGCCUUGAAUCUAAGCACAUAAAUUCCUGAAAAAGGAAAAAGUAAUAAUAAAAAAAUUCUGGUUACCAGCUAGGCAUCCAUUCAUCUAUUAUUCAAUCUGUACCUCCUCUAAUGGAGGGGGGACCAAGAUCCCAGUUCGGGCACCUUGCAUACACGAAACUUGACUGCAUUCCCUAUAUUGGAAUGAAUGAAACGAUUAUCAAGGUAUUUGGAGCUCGAUACAUGGGAGGAUUCAGCGAUUCCCUCAACCCUCUUUCGGCUAUCAAGCACGGCUUCAUGCCUGUUUUCUUGCAAGGGUGGAUGAGAGGGAACAGACUCUUGUCCUUGGAAAGCUAAGAAAAUCUAGCAUAACGCAUGUUUUUAGAUUUCUUGCAAGAGUAUGACAAACCAAAAACUCGUUCUUGGAAAGCUUGGAAAAUUCUGCAGCCUAGAUUAGCAUGUUUUGAACCUCUGAUAUCUGAAUUGUCAUAUUCGUUCGUACUUGAGAAUACAUUGUGUUAAUUAUAGUAUAUGAGGUAAAAUAUUUAAAUUCAUCCCUGCAGGUCACGGCAUUGACAGGUUUACUUGCAAAGCCCUUAAAGGGCACUUAUUCUUAUCAGUUUGCCUUCCCAUUUAUUUCUAGAUACCCACUUACAAUGGGUAGGCAUCAAGUCUUUCAUUCAUCUGAACUCAGAAGCAUUCGUUCAUCAUUAUAGAUGAAAAGAAUGACGAUCUUAAACAUAUUAAGGUGAGUGAUAAGAGGUCAUUUUAAUUCUCUUUUUCACAUAUAGACAUUAUUUAUUUAUGCUUACUUUAUCAUUAAAUUACUUUUGGAUCGUCCCUUUUACUUACUUCAUACGGAGAGUUGCUUAAGUUUGAUAUCAUUUGUAUUUCUCUUGAAGGUAUUAUAUAGCAUGCACAAUCUUUACAUGCUCUGUAUCCACUUUAAGCGCACCAGAGGCUGAGGCUGAAGAGUCAAAUUAUUUUUUAUGUGACAGUGUUUUAAGAAAUAUUUUUAAAAACUACAAUAUUGCAAAAAAAACCCAAAGAUUAACCAACUCUUCCUCUCCCAAGUCACUUAGUUCUCCCUUAAACUCUCAUAUACAUUUUUUUUUUAUUCUUCAUCAAAUGAAUCUAAGUAUGCUAAAAAAAUGAUUGAUUACUUUUCAUGUUCCACAAUUUUCAUUAAUAUUAUAGGCUUGAUAGAUGGAAUCAAUAGGUAAGAAGAUAAGAAUUUGAGAUUGUUUGGCUUGUAAUUUUAAAACCGUUUGUUAUUUUUAAAAAGACUACUUUUACAAAUUUAUAACACUAUUUAAUGAUGGUUAUCUAAAAAUAUUUUUUAAAAGUAAGUUGAAAUGAUAAUUUUUAGAGAAAAAAAAAUGAAAUUAUUUUUGUUGGUUUUCAAAAACAAAAGAAAAAUAUUGAAAAAGAAAAAUGAAAACCAUAAAAAGCUAAUAAAGUAGAAGAUACUUUUUUUUUCUCAUUUUAAAUUCAACAUCUAUUACUAAAAAUAUUCAAAUAUAAUCUUAUCUUGAAUUAAUUGAUCUUUCUAAAUUUUCUUUAAGUUCUAUAAAUUUUUUCAUUAGGUAAAUAGAUUCCAAAUCAAUCAAUACUUAUUAAUUUUUAAAAACGAUUUAAAACUCAAAAACUCAAAAACUAUUCAAUUAAAACUAAAAAGUUAUGAAACCCAUAAUCGACCUAAUUAAAAUUAGAAAGUCAUAGAUUAAAAUUCUUUUGGAAGGACUUUGCUAGUUUUUUCUUUAUAUAUAAUUAUAAUCUUACAAAUUUUCUUAUUAUGAAAAUAAACUCUAAAUCAAGCAAAUUAAAUUUCAAUCGGACUUAUUAACAAAUUUAGUAAUUUUUAAAUAUUUAAAAAAAUAUAUAGUAAUACAAUUAAUAUAAAAAAAUUGGCCUAGAAUGACUAUGUUAGUUCUUUGUUGUAUAGAAUCAUAUUUUUUCUGAAUUUUUUCACCAAAUAAAUAGAAUUUAAUCAAAUAAGACUUGAUGCAUUAGAUUAAUAAAUAAAGCUAUUAAUUUUAAAAUAUAAUUUAAAAUUAAAGAAACCAAUAAAAUUACUACUAAAAACUUAUGAAUUAAAAUUGGUCAAUGAUGACUAUAUUAUUCCUCUUCUAUAUAUAAUUAUAUUUUUAUGCAUUUUCUUACUAGAUGAAUGAAAUUUAAACUAAGCGAGAAUUUAUACGUUGAAUCUAUGAAUGAGUUUAAUAAUUUUUAAAAUUAAUUUUUCUUAAGAUAUUAGCUAGAUCAACUUAAGGUAAUCACCUCCAAUAAAAGGAAAAGUAAUGAGUGAAUAGGGUGAUAGUCCAUUUUACAAAUUUAAACUAUAUGAAUGCAAGAAACAAUUAUAUACAAAUAUAAUUGUAAAUAGUAAAUGAGCUAUUACUUGAGACUUUUUUCACAAAAUAAUUCUUAAAAUAUUUUUUAUUCUUGAAAGGCUUGUAAUAUAACAUAUUUUUAUCGAACAUGCAUGUUUAGCUAAUAAGAAACAUAUUAAAAGAUUUUUUUCCCAAUCGAAAACCUUGCUAGAGGAUGUCAACCAUUCAAUUUUAUUUUUUUCUACUUUUCCUUUUUUUUUUAAAAAAAAAAAAAAAAGAGAUUUUUGUUUUCUCCAUUUUUUUCAAAUUUUUCUUUAAGCUCAUUGAGCUUAUUUUGAAGAUAAGAAAUCUUUUUCUUUAAAGAGGUAUUAUUUAACCCGAGUUUUGAAAAUCUUGCUAGAGGAUGUCAACCAUUCAAUUUUAUUUUUUUCUACUUUUCAUUUUUUUUUUCUCGAUUUUUUUCAAAUUUUUCUUUAAGCUCAUUGAACUCAUUUUGAAGAUAAGAAAUCUUUUUCUUAAGAGAGGUAUUAUUUAAUCCAAGUUUUUCAAAAUCAAUAUAUAUUUCUUGAAAAACCUCUCGAGGUUCAUUAUAGUUAUGGUUAGAAAUUACAUCAUCUUCAUGAUCUUUCAAAAAACCAUGGAGUACAUGUUAGUCAUUUCAUUUUCAUUUUUUUCUUUGGAUGAUUCAUUACUUUCAUUCUAAGUGGCUACCAUGACUUUCUUCUUUUUUUGGCAUUUAAAGAUUUUUUCCUUGAAUGGAUCCUUCUCUCCUUGAUUUUUCUAAGCUUGAUAUAUUUCAUAAAUUUCUUUGUAAUAAGAUCAAGGUCUCCAUCUUUGCUUUCCUUAUCUUUUUCAUUAAUUGUUGAAGUUUUGAAUAGUAUGUCAUUUUUCUUCUUCCGUUAAACUUCUUGAUGAUUGUUCAUUUAUCUCAUGAGGGGUCAUGAGUGAGUAAAUGGGUUCUUCAAGUAAGAGCUUGGUGGUAAGAUUUUUAAUUUCUUGGAUUGCAAUCACUUUUGUUUCUUAUUUAUUUGGUAAAGACCUCAAAAUUUUUAUGACUUUCUCUACUUUGAUGUAUAUCUUUCUCAAAGCUUGAAGUCCAUUUACAAUCUCUAUGAACAUUGUAAACAUAUCAUUAAUUGAUUCAAAAUAUUUCAUUGAAAACAAUUGAUAAUCAUGUACAAGAAUAUUUAUCUUAGAUUUUUUUAACUUGGUUGGUUUCUUCAUAAGUAAUUUCAGAGUCUCCAUAUGACUUCCAACACAAGCCUUUAAACUUUACAAUUGGAUUCACCAGCUCCAAUUAGCACUACAAAAUUCCUCAAAAGAUGUCUCACUUUUGAAUUUUCUAAAAGAUACUUCACACUUGACCAACACUAAAAAAUACCUUAUACUUAGAUUUUUUUUCUUUGGGUGAUACCUCACACCUAAACUCACUUCAAAGGUUAUAAGAAAGAUAUAGAAUUAAACUCACAAAAUACUAAUACAAAUUUAAAAUCAAAUGAGUAUAAGAAAAAACAAGAAUUGAAGUGUAUUAAUGAUAUGAAAGUUGAAAUUUUGUACUAGAAUUUUGUAAGAAUAUUUUAUAUCAUUUCUUGUAAAUAUUUGUGAGGUGAGUUCAACUGUGAGAGGUAUCACUUAUGGGAAGAAUUUGGAGACUUUGUCUUGAAAAGUCUUAUUGUAAAGGGUGUUUGGAAUCAUAAGUUUAAGAAGGUUGAUUGGAACCAUACCAAUUGUAAAACUUGGAGGCUUUGAUUGAAAACUACAGAAUAGUGGAACCUUCACUUGGUUAAGAGUUUGAAGGGAGUAGACAUAGGCCGAGUUGUAGUGAACCACUAUAAAAAUGAGUAUUUGUAUUUUUUUCUUCCUUAUUCUCUUUAUUUUAUAUACAAUUAUUUUUUUCAUUAUCUUUAUUAUAUAUUUGCAUAUAAUUGUUUCUUAUAUUAACUUAAUUUAAAUUUGUAAAAAAAAAAAAAAAACCAUAACUCUAUUUAUCCCCUGAGGUAAUUACCUUAGGUUGAUUUGGCUAAAAUUUUAACAAAAUCUAAUCACUAUUAUAAGUAAUAGAUUAGCACUAAUACUUUAUGAGUUAAGACUUUGUUGUUUCUCCUAAACACAUAACUUUGUUUUUUGAAUUUUCUCACUAUGUAAAUAUGUUCUAAAUUAAAUAAAACAUAACUAAUACUUUAAAUUUUUUUAAUAUCUUUUAAUUCUAAGAAUAAUUUGGAAUUUUAAAAUCUAACCUAAUUAAUUCCAAACUAAAUGAAACUAGUUCAAAAUAUUGUGUCAUAAUUAAGCAUUGGAUGUGUAUGUAAUGAAAAACUUAAUUUAUUUAUAUGUUAAAAAAAUUAAACUUCAUUUUUUAAAAUUUAUUUUAUUAUUAUUUAUUUUUAGAAAAAAAAAUCAAUUAUACUUUUAUGAUGAUGUUAAUAUUCAUAUUUUUAUAAAAUAUACUAAAAUCACACACACACACACACACAUAUAUAUAUAUAUAUAUAUAUAUAAUAUAAUUUUUUUAUUUUAUUACAGUAUUAGUAUUAAUAUUUUACUAAAAAAUAUUUAUUUGUUAUUAUAAAAUUAUUUUUAUUUUUGUAAGAAUUUAAUAAUUAAAUUAAUAUUAUAUAAAUUGAAUUUAUAAAUUUUUUACAAUAUCGAAAUAAAAAACUAUAUUAAAAAAUAAAUUAUCCAAGCAAUUUUUUAUUUAUUUUUUGGAAUAGUAUGUUUAAAAAUAACUUAUUAAAUAAACUUUUAAAAAAUAACUUAGUGGUUAACUUCUAACUCCGUGUUGGAUGGCCCUUGAUUAAUGUGUGAUUUAUCCAUUCUUACUUUUUUAUGUUAAUGUUGAUGACUAGAUAUGGGAAGAAGUAGGCCUAGGGAUGGGGCUCGAGUACUUGCGUCACCCACAAAGGGAUGAGUGUAAAAUUAAAAUAAACAACUUAGAGGAGAAUUUGAGAUUAUUUUGAAAAUCCAUAGGUUCGAGGCAUAUUCAAGUUUGUCUUGCCCUUCCCUGCCUCGAUUACAUAUAAAAUAAAAUUAAUUUUUAUUUCAAUAAUAAUAAUAAUAAUAAUUGUGAAUCAGUCAUAGUUGUCUCCUAAAGUCGCCUUGUUCUUUUGGCCCAAGGGUAAUAACACACAACUAAUCGAGUAGGUGCCUGAAACGCUUGAAAAUGUUAAUUGUAACAAACAUUAAGUACAUAUAACAAAUAUUAAGUGUUUUGAUUAACACAGUUGUUAUAAGGAUAUAACAUAAGUCUUUAAGGCUCACCAAGGCAUGAUAAUUGUUAUGAGUAGGUAAUUAUUGACAUUAAAGCUUGUAGCGUGCAUUCAAAUAAAUAGCCCCAUUUGGCAACAAAUGAGGUAUAUUAUCAUUUUUCUAAAACACUUAUUUUUUUGUUCAACUAUGACCUUUUAGUAGUUAACCGAUUACAUUCUUGUUAGUCGUGCACCAACAAUAAUAAUAAUAAAUAUUUUUCAAUAAAAUAAGUUAUAAAAAAUUAUAAUAUUAUAAUUAUUCAUAAAAUAUAUAUUGUUUUGAUGUAAUUAAAAAAAUUAGAAAUAAUUUUUAAUCCAAGAAUGAAAAUUAUUUUGAAUAAACAAAAUGGUGUUGGGAUGAGGUGGCCAAUCUCAGUCCAUCUCUUUGCUAUCCCAAAAUAGCUCUUGUUUUAGAUUUGUUAAUUCAUUUUUGGUUUACAUGACUUAAAAAAGGAAGAUAAAGCAUCUACAAAAGUUAUGCAUAUUGAUUAUGUGAUUUUGGAUUCGCCUCUGGGAUUUUGGGUCGUUUUACUUUCUUACAAACAGUAGAAACACCAAUUCAACAAAGAAAAAGAAGUGAAAAACUAUUUUUAAAGAUAAGUACUAGAAAACCUGGUCAAUCAAACGGACGGUUAGUGUUCUAGAUGAGAUUGACGUUCUGAUGAUGGAGUCAUUUUCAUUAGGCAGGGCUGGCAAAACCAGGCGGUUUAGUGCACCGUCUACGCGUUUUUCUGGGCCCAAAUUUAUUGGGCCUAGAGGAGGAUCUUAGUCUUGGGGCCGUCAAAACUUCAAUAUCUAAGUCGACCACAUAACAAAAGCAUUAGUAAGCCACUUCGCAAAAUCAACAUCACGAUGAAUCAUUAUAAACAAUGGGCGAUACAAAAUAAAAAUGAGAUCGAAUUGGUAGGUCAAAUCAAAAUUUGAUAAUGAUUGGCAUCUGAUUUCUUUUCAACCAUCCAGUUGGCUCAUAUUUCUCAAGGGGAGGUGGAACACAUGAAGCACAAGCCACGAUAUCUCUCAGUCUGCCUAAGCUCUCAUCCCAUAUUCUAAAAGCUUAGAUCAACCAGUCGUAAUCGAACACUAAUGGAAAAAAAAAAAUCAUUAUGGGUAAUGGGAGACUUUAUUUCCAGUUGUAAUUAUUGUUUAACCUUAUAAUUCAUGAUGGGAUUGCUGUAUAUAAUUAAAGCAUUGCAGACCUAUGGUUUUGGUGGAUGGCUUUAGGGAAGUACAUUAAUGUGGUUGGUUUCUGUAGACGAAAUAUUUUUUGGGCCUGGGGCCAGGGUUAGUGUCAUUUAAAUUUUAUAAAUAUUAAAUUAUUACUAGUACUUUGUUAAAGUUGGCAACUGCAUCAUUUGGUUUCUAUCUAUUAAGGUAAAGAAAAAAAAAAAUAUAUAUAUAUAUAUAUAUAUAUGUAUAAAAUUUACCUACUCCUGUGGAUUUGAUACGAAGAAGAUUUAGGUAAUAUUUAUUUUUUUUACUUAAUUUUAAAUAGAAGUUUAAUGUUUAAUAGUGUUAAAUAUUAAGUGGUUUGUUUUGUAGUAUUUUAUUUUUAUUAAGUAUUAAAAAGUAAAAAACAAUUAAUAUGUUAUUUUUUCUAUUUAGAAAAAAUUAAGAUGGUGUUUAUUUUUUUGGCUUUUUAUUGAAAGCAAAUUGUUUUUAGAAUUUAAGUUAUUUAUUUUUCUAUUUUUUCAUGACUUAUUAUAAACUUUUUAUUAAAUAAAAAAAGCCAAAAUAUAUAGCAUUUUCUAAAUAAAAAAAUAUAUAUUAGUUUUUCUUUACUUUUUAAUACUUAAUAGAAAUAAAAUACUAUAAAAACAAACAACCUAAUAUUUAAUAUUAUUAAGCAUUAAUGUCCUAUUUAUAAUUAAAUAAAAAAAAACAAACACUACCUAAGAGAGUGUUUGAUUUUUUUGCUUUUUAUUAAAAGCAAUUUAUUUUCAAAAUUUAGAUAGUUUGUUUUUCUAUUUUUUUCAUGACUUAUUAUAAACUUUUCAUUAAAUAAAAAAAAUCAAAAUAUUUAAUUUUUUUUAAAUAAAAAAAAUAACAUAGUGGUUUUUCUUUACUUUUUAAUAUUUAAUAGAAAUAAAAUACUAUAAAAACAAAUAACAUAAUAUUUAACACUAUUAAAAUUAAGUUUUUAUUUAGAAUUAAGUAAAAAAAAAUUCAUCUAAAAUUUUGAUUUUUUUUUAUAUUUAGUAAAAAACUUAUAAUAAAUAAUAAAAAAGUAAAAAAUUAAAUGAUCUAAAUUCUGAAAAUAAAUUAUUUUUAAUAAAAAACUAAAAAAAUAAACACCACGUUAGUUAUUAAUACGGAUUGAGGGAUAACAAUAUCAAUAUAUCAAUAAAACUAACCCUAGUUCGAGUGGAAAUUUGCCUAGCGUAUGAGUUUGUGUUUCUCGUCACCGUAGCAGUGACGAGACUCGAGCACCCGCUUUGACUUUGAUGGAGUCCAGUCCGAUAUUUGAAUGUUCAAAAUUUGAGCUCAUUUUCCUUGAGAAGCAUUAAUUAGAGACACGUAGACAAACAAAAAGUGAAGAAAUAGAUGGAAAGGAUCAGGUGGGUCAAACAAAGGUCCAGCUGACUUUGUCAAUGACACUCUACGUGUUGCCUACAGGUACUGCGGUACAUAGGCGUGGGACCGACUACCGGCCUUGCGCCUUUCGUCCAUGCUCAAUAUUCUGUCCACACACUCUCUUUCUUCCUUCUCAUCGUUGACCACUUCUAAAGUCCAUAAAUCACACAUGCAUAUGCCCCGCAUUCUUGUAAUAUAAUGUUUUUAUGAUGAACCUUUUUUUUUUCCUUAAAUGUCAUAGAAAUUCCUCUCAAAAUACCUCUAUUUUUGGAAUAUGAUAAAACGUGAAAUCUUUCAGGCACGCGAUAUUCCGCAACUGAAAUUUUGCACAUGCUAAUAAAAAAAAGACUAGGUCAACGUGUGUUUUUUACUUUUCUCCUUUAAAAGGCCAAUAGUGAAAUUUUCUUUUAUUCCAUGAACCAUUCAUCUCUCGUGCAUCUUUCAUGCAAAAGACUCCCACCAUUAAACCCAGUUAGUCUCGAUCGCAUUUUAACAUUUUCUCAGUGGGAAUGAACCCAUUUGAACGCCAAGUUACCAGCUCUUUCUCUGUAGAGUCUUCGUCGUCAUCAUCAUUUUCAUCCUCAACACGUGCACCAGGUAGUUCGUCGCAAACCCAUGAAGCAGGAAGCAGCAGCCAGAAGCGCAAAGCCGGGAGGAAGAAGUUCAAGGAGACCCGACACCCAUUGUACAAAGGCGUUCGACAAAGGAACGGCAAGUGGGUGUGCGAACUGCGGCAGCCUCGCAAAAGGAAUCGAAUAUGGCUGGGGACUUUCCCUUGCCCGGACAUGGCUGCUAGGGCAUAUGAUGUAGCUGCUUUGGCUAUUAAGGGAGACUCUGCUUCCCUCAAUUUCCCUGAAUCCGUGAGUCAGUUGCCUCGUGCAGCGUCAUCUUCUAUAGAGGACAUACGAUCUGCAGCUCUAAAAGCUGCUCAAACAUUUGAAGCUACGGAGAAGGAGAAGGAGAAAGAAAGGGAAGACGAAGAUUCAGACCCUUGCCAACUAUUUGUGGAUGAGGAGGCUUUGUUUAAUAUGCCGACUCUACUGGACAGCAUGGCGGAAGGCUUGAUCCUUACGCCGCUGGCACUGAAGAAAGGGUUCAAUUGGAACAGCAUUAAAGAGGCGGAAGACUUCACUCUCUGGACUGACUAAUCUCCUACUCCUCCCACUCCCGUUGCAUAAAAAUGGAAAGGAAAAAAGAAAAGAAAAGAAAAAUGUAGAAUUUGGUGGACUCAUUUCUUCACCUCCAGUGAUGACCAAUUGUCUGACAUUUUCCGGUCAUCCAGCUCAUGUAGGGCUUGUUUGGUUGCUGUGUUUUUAAAACUGUUCUGGAAACAGUUUUUGAUAACAGUUUUCAAUAACAGUUUUUUGCGUUUUUUAAAAAAAAAAAUUGUGUUUGGAACUGAAUUCUCAUUAAUAGUUUUUGUUCUAAAUAAAAAAAAUAUAUGUUUAAUUGAGUUAAUAAAAAAAAAUUAGAAUAAAUAAAACAAAAAAUAUGUUUGAAAAUUAUUUUUUUAAUUAAUAAAAUGUUUUCUUCAAUUAAUUAAUUGGAUAUUAUAAAUAUAUAAAUAAUUUUCAUAUGCAUAAUUCAUUUAAAUUAAAAAAAUAUUCAAUUUUGAAUUUUUUACAUCAAUUAUAAUUUUUUAAACAAAUGAUGACUUUUUCAUCAUAUGUAAGUAUAUUAAUUUUAAUAAUUUAAGGAAGAAGAAAGGGCUUACGGGUGGGGGUAUGGUGGUUGGGUGGAGCUCACCUUUGUGGAAACACAAAAAGCAAGUAAGAAAACACAAAAAUAAGGAAGAGAAAAUACAAAAAAUAAUAUAUUAUUUGAAUAGUGAAAAAAAUAAUGAUAAUAUCUUUUUAUUGUUCUCAAAAAGGUGGUUUUUGAGAACACGGAAAACACAAAAAACAAAAACACACUCUCUUCCCCAAACAAGUUUUUUGUGUUUUUUGUUUUAAAGAAUAUAAAACAGUUCUCGAAAACAAGAACCAAAACUAUAAAUUUAGCGUUAGGUUUAAGUUAUAAAUGAGUUUUUUUUUUUUUUUUUGUCUUCCUUUCUAUUUUUUCUAACAAAAAAAGAAAAAGAAAAAAGAAAGUCAUAGAUGUAUAUUACAUAAACUAAUUUGGGAUUUUUUUUUAUAAGAGUAUGGUAGUUUAAAAAAAUAAUUCCUAAAUUCUCGUGGUCCAAAAAAUAAUUUCAGAUCUAUCAUAAUUUUUACCAAAUAGGAAAUAGAAAAACAAAAAUUAUUUUUUCCUUUUAAAAUCGUCUCUUCAAAAUAUCAUUUAUAUAUAUAACAAAAAAAAUCGUAUUUUUAAGAGACAAUUUCUAUUAAAAAAAAUAUAAUUUUUAUUAAAAAAUAAUAAAAAAUAAAAAUAAAAAUAAAAAUAAAAAAUAAAUUAGGGUAGAGUUUCUCUAUUAUAUAUAUAUAUAUAUAUAUAUAUAUAACCAAAUUUAGGGAGAGAAAUUUGUGUAUUUGAAUUUCAAGGAAUGAUUUCUUAAUUUUUUUUAUUUUUUUUUUCUAUUUGAUCAAUUUUCUUGGGACCUAUGUUAACAACAGGUAAAAUUUGGAUAUAACUAAAAAUUAUAUUUUAUUUUCUUCAAAAUUUUCUUAAUAAAAAAUAGUUAAUCAUUUCUAAUUUUAAGUGUAUUAAAAUAUUUUUAAAGAAUUAUUUUAUUAUUAUUUUUAAAUUACUUUAAUAGUUUAUAAUUAUUAAAUAAAAUAUUUUAAUACACAAAUGAUUACUAUUUCUUUUUAAAUUUAUUAAUACUCAAAAAAUUAUAUCUCUUAAUGCUGAAAUUUUUUAUUCAAAAUUAAUUUAUUGAAUAAUAAAUUAAUUUAUUUUUCUAUGUUUUAUUCCUUUUACAAUUAAAUUUUAAAUUAAAGAAUAACAUUUUUUUAUUUAAAAGUUUAUCCAAUAAAAUAAAUUUAAAAAUAAAAACAAAAAAAAUUAUUUUAUUUUGUAAAUAAUUAUUUAAUAAAAUUUUAAAAUAAAAUUAAUACUAAAUUUGUCUUUUAUAAACUAAAUUUUUUUAAUCUGAAGUAAAGAAACAAAAAGUAAUAAAUAAAUAUCAUUUAUCUUAUAAAUAAAAAACAAUAUAAAACUAAAUUAGUUUUUAUUUAUGUAUAGUUAUAAUUAGUUUUUAAAGAUAAAAUUGAAGAUAAAGACCAAAAUAUUUUUUAAAUUAAUAUUUAACUUAAUAUAUAAUUUUAUAAAUAUUGUUAUUGAUAAAUAUCUCAAUAAUUAUAAUUAUUUUAUAUAUUAAAUUUAGUAAAUAAAAUUAAUUAAUUUUAUCAUAUAUAUUUAUAAUAAUUAUAUUAUUAUACAUAUAUAUUAUUAGUUAAAAUAUUAUUAAAAAAGAAAAAAGAAAAUGGACAAAUAGAGAAAUCAUCUUUUAUUUUAUUUUGUAGAAGAGACAAUUUCCUUCAUAAUUUUAUUUGUUUGUUUAUAUAUAUUUAUAUAUUAUAAUAGAAAAAUUGUCUCUUCAAGGAGUCAUUUUCCCUUGUUUUUUUUCUUUUCCUUAAAUCGUUUUUAGAAGAGACGAUUUUCUUUAUUUUAUUUUAUUUUAUUUUUAAAAAAUGGCUUCUUCUAGAGACAAUUUUAGUCAAUAAAUUUUAGAAAUCCUCUAUUGAAAAUAUGAUUUUUUACUCAUAUUUUUUUAUAAAUGAAAUAAAUCAUCUUUUAAAGAGACCACUUUGAAAAGAAAUAUCAAUUUUUGCUCUUCUUUUCUUUACUUGGCAAAAAUUACGGAAAAUUUAGAAUUAUUUUUUUCAACUUGAGGAAUUAUGUUUUUAAAUUACAAUAGUCUUAUAAAAAAUCCUGCUAAUCCGUCCAAACAACAAACUUUAAUUUUGAUCUGUCCAACGGACCUCAUAUGUCUGGCUUGGAAACCUAAAUUCUUACUUGACUACUCUUCUAGAUUUACGAAAUUAAAUUUUGACAAUGAAUAAAAAAAAAUCAAAAUAUCCAUGGCCUUUUAAAAUUGGGAGAAUUACCCAAAAAGGUGGGUUAAAAAAAAUAAUAACUACGAAGGCUCACUCUUUUAAAAGACAAUUUUACCCUUUAAUUUAUUUUUUAUAUUAUUUAUAAAUAAAUUGAGAUUGUCAAUGAUGUGGGGCCCAUACAUGAUGAUAAGCACAAGUUGAUAAAUAAUGUGGGACCCAUACAUGAUGAUAAGUACAUGUUGAUAGGCAAUCAACAGUACAUUUUUCAACUUUAUAAAAAAUUGUUAUCACUUUUGAACAAUUAACUAUUUAAAAAUUCAUUAUUUUUUUUUAAAUUGAGAUUUUUUAAAGAACCUUGUAAAAAAAAAUAAUUUUUAAUAUCUCAUAAAUAAAAAGCAUAUCCUAAAGUUAUUAUAUCGUUUUAUAUAUAAAACAUACAAUUAAAAACUUUGUUAUCAUAAUAUAAUAAAUAAUUAUUUUUUACGAGCACUCAUCAAUUGAAUAAUAUAUAAAUAUUCAAUUGACUAACACACACCUAUUAAAUGGAAUAACUCACAAUUAUUCAUUGGGUAAUAUAGCACGUGAAAAAAUUAAAUAAAAAUAAAUUAAAUUAUGUUAUAAUAUAUUGUAAUGAUAGUGUAUUUAUAUUGUAAGUAUAAUGCAUUUAUGUCGUACCUAUAUUUCAUUAUAAAAGUAAUAAUUUAAAAAAUGUUUAUUCAUACCCUAUUGGUAUUAACACAUCGUAUUAAUAUAUUAACAACAUUUAUUUAGUGUUUUGAUAUUAUUUAAUAAUUUUUGUAUAUAUAUAUAUAUAUAUAUAUAUAUAUAUAUAUAUAUAUAUAUAUAUAUAUAUAUAUAUAUAUAAACUAUGUGAAUUCAAAUUAGUAUUUCAUUUGAUUUUAGAAAUUAUUUAUAAUAUAGGUAUGUUGUGAAAUAUGGUAUGAUCAUACAAAAUUACCAUUUUUAUAAAAAAAUUCAUAAAUUUCUUAAUUAGGUUUUAUUGUAAUGUAUUGUAAUGUAAGUGUAUUUAUAUUGUAAUUAUAACAUAUGUUUAUUGUGCUUGUAUUGUAUAAUAAAAGUAAUAAUCUUAAGGAUCACCUUUUAUACCUUAUUAAUAUUCAACAUAUCAAAUAUAUUAACAUCAUCCACUUGAUACAUUGAGAAAAAAAAUUUAUAUGAAAAUUAAAUAAAAAAAAAACACUAUGCAAAGGAAAAAAAAAAUCAGAUAAAUUUUUUUAAAUUAUUUUAUUAUAAAAAUAAAAAAUGAUUCAAUAUUUUCUAUCAUUUUCUUAUUAUUUUUAGAGAAUUUGAAUGAAAAAUUAAACAUUUUAUCUUCCUUAAAUUUAAUACAAAAACAUAAUUUAUCAAUUUAAAAUUAUAAUAUAUAUAUAUAUAUGAAAAAAUCAUCAUUUUUAUUAUAUAAUUAUAAAACUUAUUUUUUUCUUCAUAAAAUUAAAAAUUAGAAUAAAAAUAAAAAAGGUAAAAAAACAAUAAAUGAUAUUUUGAAAAUAUUUUUUAAAAGUAUUUUUGUUUUAAAUAGUAAAUUUAAAUAACAAAUUAUAUAUAAUUGUAAAGAUUAAACCCAAAAUUUUGAUUUAAAAUUUAAAUAUCAAUAAUUACAAUAAAUAUGAGACCCAUGUACUAUAAAUAUAUUGACAAAUAAAGUAAAGUGCUUUAAAUGUUUUAAAUUUUAAAAGUUUUAGUUAAAGAGCAAUUUUGGUAUAUUAAGCUUACUAAAGUCCUCCGGCUACCACCUAAUUAUUUUGCCCAGCUUACCUUUUGAGUAAUUCUCCCUUUAAAAUUUAGAUGUCAAUGUUUGCCAAACAUUCAAAAUAGUAAAUGGGGCCAAGCAAGCUGUUGUCUUGUCAUGGUUGAAGGAAGUACAUGUUCGCCUUUUUAUACUCACAGUCAAUCUUUCUGAUCAGUUACAAGUCAUAAAAAUGGAUCAAAAUGCAAAUUGAAAAGAAAAGGUAAAAGAACAACUUUGAACCGGUAAUGCGGCGGCCCACCGUCCUGGCGCAAUUGAUGGAUGGUCAUUUCAGUGCGUCUGAGUAAGCACCGGUGAUGCGGUGAUCCACCGUCCUGGCGGAACUGAGGGAUGGUCAUUGCUGUGGGUCUGAGUAAGCACCGUCCUGGCGGAACUAUUCAUUUGGGUCUGACUAAGCACGGAAAAGAUGGUGCAGUGACUUUUUGGCAAUUGUGGUUGACUGUUGGAGAAAGUAGAUGUUGGCACAUCAUUCAAAAAAGCGAACGAUGAACCGGCAACCGAAAGGUCACCGUUGCAUAACUUUUGAAUGAAAAUCCCUCCACUACUAUCGUUUCAUUCAAUACAACGAUGAUGCUUUUAGUGCGCAAUAAGCACGACAGUCCGAUCGGGGAACGAAAGAAGCCAGAAGGACAUAUAAUUAUGCUGAUGAACAAGCCUAAUUUACAAAAGUCUUAUGACCAAUUACGAAAUUUGGCUUCUAAUAAUCUUAACAACCGAAUGGUCGAGAGGUUUAGUGGUCCAAGCAUUAGGCAAUUACUGUGGGAAACUUCAAACCAAUAAUCAUUGGAGACUACGAAUUGAUUUCAUCAAAUUUCUAUACACUAAAAGAGUGAAUGAGAUAACUCUUAUUCUUACUUCUCUUUUCAUUUAGAAUUUAUAAUAAUAUAAUAUUGACUCAAAGUUUGAAUCAAUAUUAUUACGUUUCAAGAUAAUGAGAUCGAACUAUCCCAUUAAUCUGUAUAAGUUUUUAAUAUGAUGACCGAUGAAUUCAUUCAUAUUAUAUAUUUACCUAUUUUAUGUUUAUGGUUUUGUUUUUUAUAAAGCAUGAUCGCAAUAAAUAAGAUUUUUUUUUAGAGUUUUACCACUGUAACUCUUCUUACUUUUUUUACUAGUAGAUUAUUGAAUGUUAAUACAUUUUAUGGGCAUAGGAAUCAUAUUGAUCAUCAAACCAUAUUAAAAAUCUUAUAUUUACUUUAUUUUAUAAUAAUAUGUAUACCUGAUUUGAUUAACAUAUAAGACAAGAUCAUUCCACUAAUAAAUGAUUGACUCAAUUCACGUUGAAUCAUAUUUUGAAAAAAUGUCAUUUUAUUUUUACCUACAUAUUAGUCUUAAUUUUACAAUCAAAAUAAUAUAAAAUAAAAUUUAUGUUGUACAGGCAAAUAAAAUUAAAAAGUAAAAAGUAAAAAUCAAGACAAAUGUAUUUUUUUUAUAUUACGCAUAAAAAAAUAAUAAGAUUAUAAAUUGAACUUAUUGUAAUUAUUUUAUUAAAUAUCUUUUUAAGCAAGAAAGUCUAUUAACGAAGAAGAAGAAUCAUUUUCAAUUCAUGUGUAAAGAGUUGGGGUUGACUUCUCAGCAAUGUCAGAGUAAGCAUGAUAAAUUGAUAAUUGCCCAUAAACAAGAGCGGAACACCAACAGUGUCAAAGUUAUUGUUCAGUACCAAUUAUCACCUAUUAAGCUAAAAGAUAUGUUCUCGUUAAUCUGCUCAAACGAUAUCUGAAAAAUCCACCUAAAGUUGUUAUACAUAGAUCACGAGCCAUAGGAAAAAGAUGUUCAUUUUGCUAUCCAUACAUGUACUUUAGAUUUAAUAAAUAAAGGAAGGAACCGAGAUUGUUUUGUUAUUGCAAUAGUAGUAUUUUGGAAAUAUGGUCUUAACGGGGAACCCCUUUUUGGGCCCGUGCAGUAAGAAGGCACAUCCAUGCAAUUUGAAUGUGGGCCUAAGACGAGACGUCACAUUUCACAAGACUGUUGGGUUGGCUCGUAGGCUCCUGCUUUUGUUGGCCCAAGCCCAACUCAUUGCCGUUAUGGAAGUGAAAAAGGAAGAGUGGAGGCGUUCAUAGAUUUCAUAUAUAGACAAAAUUGAAUCCUAACUUAUCUAAAGAAAGAGAACCAUAUAUGAUAUAUAUUUAUGUAUAUAGUCACCACUGACAACAUAGACCAGACAAACGGAUGGUUUCAUAGGAGUACUUUUCAUUAAGGAAGAGUGGUAGCUGGCAGGUUGAAGAUCAGAUCAUAUCCCCAGAUCCUCCACGACUACGAUUUGGAAACAGAGGUGGAUGAUGGAAGAAAGUAACAAUGAUGUUGUGGUGAGGAUAUGGGAGGUGAACAAGGAACGCUUAGCACGUAUGCAGCAGAAAAUCUCGGAGGAGCCACGAUUACUGCGCAAAAGCGCAGGCAGAAGCUCAUGUUGCAUCUUCAGAGUGCCUCGAACACUAGUUGAGAUCAACAGUCGCUCUUAUCAACCUCAUAUAAUCUCCAUAGGUCCAUAUCACAGGGGUGAGCCUCAUCUCAAAAUGAUCGAGGAGCACAAGUGGUUGUACUUGGGCUCCUUGAUUGCUAGAACGCAGCGUCAUGGGUUGGGCUUACAGGACUACUUGAGAGCCCUACAGCCAUUGGAGAUGGAAGCUAGAGAGUGUUAUUCGGAGAUAAUCCACCUUGACACCCACGACUUCUUAGAGAUGCUGGUCCUGGAUGGUUGCUUCAUAAUUGACUUCUUUCGUAAAAUUGGAAAAAUGCAUCCCUUUGAGCCAGAUGACCCUUUGGUCUCCAUGUCAUGGGUGUUCUCCUUUUUCUUGAGGGAUCUUCUUCUGCUGGAGAAUCAGCUUCCUUUCUUUGUUCUCCAGCGCCUGUUUGAUCUCACAAAAAUGCCAGGAGAGGAGUCAGGCCCUUCCUUGGCUAGCCUUGUUUUGGGAUUCUUCAACAACACACUGCAAAGGCCAGAUGAGAUCCUCCAAAAGCAUUGCAACCUCAAAGGCAAGCACUUUCUCGACUUACUUCGGUUAAGCUUCAUCCCUGAGGAACAAGAGCUAGGAACCCUCGACCAUAGACCCACCCACUUGAUCCAGUGCGUGUCAAAGCUUCGUAAAGCAGGAAUCAAGCUCAAGUCCGGAAAGGCCGAUAGUUUCUUGACUGUAAAAUUCAGGAAUGGAGUGAUGGAGAUGCCACCUGUAACCAUAGAUGAUUUCCUCACCUGUUUCUUCCAAAACUGCGUAGCCUUCGAGCUAUGCCACAAGGACUGCACCAAGCACAUCACCACCUACGCUACUUUGUUGGAUUGCCUAAUCAACACAUCUAAAGAUGUGGGGCAUCUCUGCGAACGUAACAUUUUUGAGAAUUAUUUUGGAACCGAUGCAGCAGUUGCUCGAUUCAUCAAUAAUUUAGGCAAGGACGUGACUUUUGAUCCAGACAACUGUUAUCUUUCCAAAUUAUUCAACGACGUGAACGAGUAUUAUCACAAUGGUUGGCAUGUUCAGUUAGCGGGCAUGAAGUACACAUAUUUCGACACUCCUUGGUCAUUCAUAUCAGCCUUUGCUGCUUUCAUUCUCCUCCUCCUCACAAUAGUCCAAACCUUCUACACCGUUUAUCCUUAUUUUCAUCGUCAAUGAUCGUCGGCUUCAUCAUCCAUGUGAGUAUCAUCUAUACCAUGCUACUCAUUUCUAUUCUUAACUAAUAAAAAUAUCCUUUCAGAGAUCAUAGAUCCAAGUAUGUAGAGGUCUUUCUAGGUUUUCCUAUUCAGCAUCACAGAUUCUAGGUUUUCUUUUUUUCUUCUAUAAUUGGUGAUAAGUUAGAUGAAUGGUGAGUCAAAUGGAAGCAUCUUGAAUGAAAGCUCAAGCUAACGUUCCUUAUACAACCAACGUUCUUGUUUGGAAGCCCUGUUAGACACGUGACAUGCAGGAGUAGUAUAGAGCAAGCAAUUUCUUAGCUAAAAUAUUGAACCCCCCAUCGCACGAGAUUUCAUAUGCUUUAAUCAUUCAGGGCCUGAACCAUGCUUGCAUCUAUAAAUUUUCCAGGAAAAAAAAAAAUACUAAAAUAGUGUGUGUGAACAAUGAAGAUGGCUUUCUCUUGCUCGAUGAUUUGUUAUAUCAAUCUGCGUCCAAUUACAAAUUCACAAAGUAGGUUUGCUUAUCAAUAUUGUAAAAUGAGAUAAUAGCACCAAAAUUUAAGGUUUGCUUAUGGUCCAUACAUGAAAAGGCGGCAAAAGUUAAUUCUAAUACCGUCUAAAAGAAUAAAUCAACCCGAUUAUGGUGGAGGAACUUGAAGCAUAUAAUUAGUUUAAUAUUAGGGAACAAUUAAUUUAGUAGGUGAAUGGCUCUUUCAUAAUAUUUCACGCUUCUACGUUUCCCAUCCAUCAGAUUCGUGGCCAUUCAAUUUCCCAUGGCUGGAGAAUCGAAGGUACACAUAGGUUGCCAGGUGGUGCCCAAGGCGUAAAUAUUAGCCCUCGCAACAUGACAGUCUUCAAGAUGAAUAAAUGAAUAUCCACCCAACUUAACUCCGAGGCUGCGUUUUGGGGUUGUAUUGGACUAGUCUUACAAUAUCUAUAUUAAUAUAAGGACUUUUAAUAGCUUGAGUUGGGUCGAGUUGUCUUGGAAAAUAUUUUGGACAAUAAUUGGGCGUCAAGCUUGAAUAGAUUUGUGAUCAGAUAACCCAAUCCAACGUUAUCUAUAUAUAUCCUUAUUGUGUUUCGAAACUCAAUUUGACAAUUCAUGACCUCAAUCGAUUUUGUCAGCUCAAGAAUACGAACAAUAAUAUAUACUAUUGUGUUGUGAGAUGUCUUGCUUUUCUGCAGUGGCACAGAGCUCUGAGGUAUGCGCUUAAUUUUCCGAGGAAAAACCGAUUAUAUAUAGCUGGAAAUGGAUUAAUUUUGAAACAGCCAUGAUAUUUGAGGAUUGAGAGGUUGAAAAUACUGAUAUUUUGUAAACGUUUGACUGAUUGUUUAUGAAUUUUGAUAUUCCAUGCACGUCUUCUCCCACAUAUAUAUAUAUAAACACAUCAUCUAAACUAAACAAAUCCAUUUGUUUUCCUAAUUUUCUUACUCGACUCCUAUAUAAUAGCCUGUUAUAAUAUAUGUUAGCUGAAUACACAUUCACACGUCCAACACUUCAUGAUGUGGUCAAAGUGGUCCAGCACUUUGACCACGUCCUCCACCAUCCCUCUUUCGUUGCGCUUAAGGAGCACAUUCCAGCAACUGGUCAACAUGGUGGCAAGAGCAAUAUGGUAUGAUGGAAGUCACGGUUAUAAAUAUAUGAAAAAUGGUCCCAAACUCGUCUGCUACUAUUAUUAUCUUCAGGAAAAACACCAUCUAAAAAAAGAUAUAAAAGUUUGGAAAUCUGGGUUUUUGAAACUGAUUAUAAUGACUGGAGAUAAGUAGACUAUUCUUAGUCUUUUCAGUUUUGAUUUAUGUUGCAAAGUCAUUAGAGUCGAAUAUAGCAUGUAAACUUCUUUCAACAUACACUUACAGCGAUUAAGAUAUAAAGGACUAAAGGGUUGAAGAGGACUUCAGUGUGGGUUGUUUGGCUUCCAGGAGGAGGUUGGAACUCUUUCUUUUUUUUUGUUCCCUUUCUUGGCUCUAUCCGACAUGGGCUUUGUUGGUUGAAAGUUUCAUUUGAGCAAGUUUUGUAUUAGCUUUUAUAUGAUUAUUUUACUAGUAAUAUCUAGCUUUAUUAGAAAGGAUGAAUACCAUGCAUAUUGCCCUAAUGUCACUAUGAUGACUUCAUAUAUAUAUAUACGUAUGUUGUCAUACCCCUUUCUCAUAUUCAAUUUAUAAAACCGGAAGAGACGUGCAUGCAUGCACUUGGCACCCAGAGAAAUAGAUAUAUAUCUAGUCAUUUAUUUGGCUGAGUACAGGAAAUGAAUCCUUUGAAUGAGUUACUAUCCCAUGGGUACAAUUGCUCAUUCAAGACAGGUUUGGUCGGUUUUUUUGGUAACCCAUGUGGAGAUGCAUACUCUAAGCUAAUACAAAGACUUUAUGAUUUUAGCGCAUAUUAAUACCAUUUUCUCCAUCGUAUUAAUAUGCACAAAAUUUGUUGACAUUCAACUAUAUGAAAAUCGUGCUAAAGAUUAAGAUAAUGUUUUUAUUUUUAUCUUAAAUUUGAAUAAAACUAAAUAUAUUUUUUGUUUCUAAAUGUAUCAUUUUUGGAUGGAAGGAAUUACUUUAUACAAUCAAAUUAACAAUAUCCCAAAAAUAUUAAUUAAAAAAAGUAAUUUAAUAUAGUUUCAAAAUGAGAUUCGGUAUCCUAUCCCAGCUUGAAAAAUGAGAUUCCUUUAGAAAGAUUCAUAAAAGACGGAUUGCAAUGUUUUUGAGUAGGUACCAUCUCUGAGUUGUUCCCGAAAUACCAACACCAAAUGAAUGUGUCUACCGCUCCAACUUCAAGUCGCAGUCUUCAAGGCCCCCUAGAAGAAUUAUCCGUAGCUAGCUUGAGGGCUUCAAAAUCCGUGCUCUUGAUUUUUCCGGGGUUGGUGAAGAACAGAAACAUGGGUGGAAGUCUGAAAUAUUGAUGCCUUGGGGCAGUGUACGUAUAUUAGCUAACCCUUGCAACUGCAACAUUUUCUUUUUCUUUCUUUUUUAUUUUCUUGUCAUUCAUUGCAAAGAGGAAUUGAGUCUUUUAUUUUAGUCUUCCACAAUUUUGAAUUUGGCGAUGCCUCAUGCAUGGGUUACACAUAUUUGAGGAUCAGAAAAAGGAACGUGUCAGCUGCAGAAAAGUCAAAAUUUUUCAGAGAAUCACUAGUUGUGAUUAUCAAAUAACAGUAGUAAUCUGAUUCUAGGUACAAAAUUUAAUCAGCAAAUGGUUGGGGUCUCCUAAGCAGUAAGACGUGGAAACACAGGAUAUGAGAUCUUCCCCAUAUAACAUUGACCGAUUUGUGGGCCACAUGGACCUUUCUCAUUGGAAAAACCUUCGGCCUCCAUUCUGAAGAGAAAAAGUGGACAAUCAAUAUUUGUUAUAAAGAAGAUGGGCUUGAUUUCAUUACACAAGGUUAGAAAUCUUGUGUCACCGCUGUUGAGCCCAUAUUACAAUUGUCCACAGUUGGGCUGGUCCAUCUAUGCUUGGUAGAUCUAGUGCAGCAAUUCUCUACUUGAAUGCUUGAAUUGGGUUGAUACUGAAAUGAAGCCAUGGAUCAAUCAAGAGAUUCCCAAUGAAAAACUUAUCAGAGGAGAGGGGUUAUACUUAGGACUAUAUUUGGAAUGAAAAUUGUGAAUUAGUUUUAGAGAAGUUUAAAGGCCAAUUCAGAAUGGUAGAAGCUAUCAACGAAACUUGUAAAGCAACUAAUUCGAAAUAUGGAGUCUUAGCUUUGUCAAGUUGCCGAUGAAGAAAAAGGAAAAGGCACUUUCACUAAUAAUAAAAAAGGAAAUUAAAUUUAAAUGUGAUUAUUUGCCCUCAGAUCACGUGGGCCGCCAUGAAAGGACUCUCCGUCCGUCCAUCCUUAUAGAUAACUUUUUUUAAAAAAAGGGAAUCUAGAAGGUAAAAGUAUCCAUCAAUGAGAAAUGAGAAAUGGGAAAUGGUUUCCUGUGGUGAUGUGGCUUUUACCGUGUGCUACGAUUCUAUUUCAAUCUUUUUCACACCAAGUAAUAACCAUCCCAGUUGAAAACUUGAAAAGGCGAAAUAACAAGGGAAUAUGUAAGUGGUCAAUAGUUGAUGUUGAUGAAGAAGAAGAAACAAGGGGCAUAGCCGAAGUCAGCACUCAGAAGCCUCCACCGCACAUUUGUUGGGCCGCAUGCCUCACACUGAGUCACACAUCUUCCUAGUGGCAGACCAUAUGGCUUAGUCCAUGGCAAGGGACCGGGGGCAUUAGGUUGGAACAAUGAGGAAGUAAAUAUAUAUAUAUAUAUAUAUAUAUAUAUAUAUUAUUAUUUUUUUAAAUAAAAAAUAAAAAAUGUACCUAAGAUCGAAAGCCUUGCCAGACUGGCAUAAUGAUCUGCAGAAUCCCAAGGGGUUAGCCAGGCUGUCUGAAUUAAACUCAAAAUAAAGUGGCCUUAUUGGGGUCUGCCUAGAUCACAUACUUUUUACUCUGUGUGGCUGUCCUUAAAAGUUGUGAAACGAAAAACGGAGAAAAUACUUUGUGGCUGUCCUUAAAAGGUUGUGAAACGAAAAGCGGAAAAGAUUAUAUGUUAAUUUCCAUGCUCUGAUUUUCAACCAUGCAGCUUGAAGGGUAUAAUUUAUUUGUUUGGUAAUUAUUUUUUAAAAUAAUUUUUUAUAUUUUUUAAAAAUAUUAUAAAUAAUUUUUUUAAGAAAUAUAUAUAUAUAAAUUUUAAAAUAUGUAAUAAAAUAUAAAAAAAUAAUUUUUAAGAACUAUUUUUUGAAAACACUUGUCAAAUAGGGUUUGAUGUUUUUUCAUUUUUAAUGUCUUUUUAUUAGAGAAAAAUUAUGAUAGUUGGAACCCAUAAUUCAAAGCUUCUGGAAAAUGGGAAGGAGUGACUUCCCAUUGUAUGAAAUCCCACAAGAUUUCAGGUCUCCAGAUUAAGCAGCGUCAAUUAACUAGGCGUCCCCUCAUCUAGACUUUGUGUUUGGGUGGAGAGAAUAAGGAGCAUGACGUGGUCCACCCACCACCAUUCCCCAUGGAUAAGGUCAAGUUGCAAUUAAAUUUAGCAACGCCGUAUAAAAUUUAACUGCUGUUUAUACUUUGGUUUAUCAUUGAUGCUCGUACGAUUUCCCUUUGGUUUUCUCUCCUUUUUCUCCUUUAUUUUGGUGCAUAUCAUUUUCAUGGGGGUUCUCGGUCACGCGAGUCUGUUUGGAAGCUCAACUAGGGCAUAAUAGUUAAAAUUUAUACCUUUGUUGCGUAACCCAAAAAAGGGAAAAAAUAAUGAAUGGAAAAGCAAUAGAAACCCUAGACUGUCAAUCAAUCUCUACUACGGGGGGAUUAGUUGUUGAUGACGACGGACCAAUAAUCACCACUAGUAUGGAGUAUUGAUUAAACACAGCUACAGAGUUGAAGAUCAAAUUGAUUAGACGCUUCUAAUGACGCCCAACCUUUUUUCUGAUGAUUGAAAUAUAUUGGGAAUCCUCACAUAGUGUCGAGCGUCUAAUAUUUGGGAUACAGACUAUCAAGUGGGUUUCCACUCGUUGAAUAGUUCGGUUUGGUAAUAAGAAUAAACCUCUAUCAAAACCACUCUAGGGCACCAAAUUGGAGUGAGACCAGACCCGGAUCAAGAGUCCAAAGCCUCUACUAUUCUUCCAUAGUUACAUUACUCUUACUCACCAAUAAAGAAACUUUUAAGGGAAGGGCCAAAGGACCAAUUGGUUGGGCCUGUCCAGGUUUCUGAAUGUGGGCGUGAGUCAGCAAUUCCUUGGUGGAAGUAAUUCCCCCAGGCCCACUGGUGGCUGGUUAACCCAUUGAGCCCAUUGAGCCCAUUGGUCUCCCUCCCUGCUGUGUAAGAACAUGCAUUUUAUGAAUCGGUAUCUACAAAUUUUAUUUCCUUGACUAAAAACCCAUAAACACUCAAUAUGUCUGAUGAUUAAGAGGAGGUGGUUGAAUGACUUUGAAAUGAUUACUUCCCUCAACCGGGAUUCAGUUUUGCAGAUGAUUUCAUUUCAGAAAUGGCACAGUUGUAAAAAUGGUUUGUGAGGAUGCCAUUGGUUUGAAAUUUGAUUGUGAGAUGAGUAUAGAGGGAGAUGUAGGGAUGAAUAGGAAAAGCAUAAUAAAUACAUUGAAACACAGUCAAUAAAGGUUAUAAUUAGGUUUUGUGUGGGUCUAAAAUCAUUGCUUAAUACUUAAAUUAUGUGAGUGUGACCCCCAUUAAUCUCAAGAUACUUAGAAUGUGUAUCAUUUGCCUCUUGUAUGAAAGAACUAAUAUGGUGAACUUUUGGGAGGAUUAAAAGGAGCCCAAUUUGGCACCGUGUGUACGGCUGAUGACGCGUCGUGGUGGAGAUGAUGGGCUACCGCUACAAUCAUGAAUCAUCCUGACAAAAAGGGCGGCACCAUUUUUGUUUCUGUAAAUUAAACUGGCAGCUACAUACCAAAUGGCGGCUGACCUAGCAUCUACGGUUGAUGACAUGGAAUCUCUCCCCCUCUCAACCUGCCUUGCUUUUUCAAAAGUGCUGCUGCGUGUGUCGGAAGUUUUUCAAACGGAAAAUAUAUUUUUCUUUAUCUAUUCGGGAAGGAGCUUCUUGAAUUUCUUAUUUAUUUUUCCUUCGUGCAAAAUAGAGCAUAAAAGAAGGGAAGAAAAUUAUUAUUUGAUUAUAUUAUAAUAAUUUUACGGUAUUAUCACUUCAACCAUAUGGUUAAAAAAAAAAAAUGAAAGAAUGUUAUCUUUCACGUAGAAAAUAUUAAGAUUGUGCUCAUCUUUUAAAAUAUUUAAUGAAAAAUGUGAAGGAAAAGAUAUAAAGAGAAAAAAUAGAAUUUUUUUUUUUUAAGUUUUAUUUAUUUUAAUUUUUUUUUAUGAAAAUUAAAUAAUUUAUAAAUAAAUAUUUUUUAAAAUUAAUUUUAAUUAUAAUUAAUUUUUUAAAAAUUUUAUAAUAUAUAUAAGUACGAGAAAAUAAUUUUUAUUUAACAUUAUUUUUUUUUCAAUUUUUUAAAAUUAAAAAUACAGCAUAAAAAAAAUGCCAACCUAAAGUUUUACAUAUUUAAACCUUCUAAUCUAAAAAUAAAACUAAAACAUGAAAUGUUUUUGUUAAUUUUGGACUUGCGUUACCUCAUGUAGCCAAGAAGAGAAGAGAAAAUAAGCAUGAAGAAGGUUUUAUUCAAAUAUUGCUCUCGUGUGAUCAAUUAUUUUCUUACUUUUUCAUGAGAUUCAUGUAGUUGAUUGUAAACUAGCAUUCAAUUUUAUAAUGACUGGUUCGAUUGACCUCAAUUGAAUAUUUUGAUGAAAUGUAGCGAUAAGAAUGGCAGUAUCCAUGUAAAACUUGAGUUUAAAAAACUAUUAUCCCCUGUACAUUGAAAUCGAGAUGUGUGGGAGGUGAGGGAUGAGGGUGAGUGAAGUUUAAUCCAACGAUCCAUGAUGAAGAAGAGGGUGAUGAAUGAGAAAGGGGUAGGGCCAAAAUGCGCAUGCAAAUAAUGGUUGGAUUUCCAGACACACGAUGCAUGAUUCAGACCCAUCAAACAAGGAAGUUGAGGUGUCAGCGUCUCAUCUUACUACGACAUUCCACAGUCUAUGAUACCUACUCACCCAUUGCCUUGUGUAGGGACUCUGACUCCUUGAGAAUGACACGUCAACAAAAGGGUAAGGUGGACCCUCGCCUCCAUCUCAACAUUCACUUGCCUUGGUUUGUAACUUUAUGUAAAUUUCAAUAAUAAAGAUAUAGUUAUGUGGAUAUGAAUUACAUGCUUUCAAGAAACCAGGCCACUAAGAUCAACGCUUUCAUAAUUCAAAUUGACUAAACCCUCCCAACUUGCUUCUUUUCUUCACCAAACCAUGAAUUGAUUUUAUCUUUUGCUUAUUCUUUUCGUUUCAAGCCUCAUGCCCACUGACCUUUGAAUCCAGGCUUGGGCGUCUCCGCCGUUUUUACAAUUCUCUCUCUCUCUCUCUCUUUUUCUCCACUCAAUAUUGCUAGCUGUUGCAGAACUUGAUAUCAUGAAGGUUCUUGGCAAAGUUCUUGCCUUUGCCGUGCUUUUUGUGCUGAUUGUUCUUUGAAAAAUAGAGAGGCGGGUACGUUUCUUAGGGCAUAUAUUUAGUGUUGGUGAUGGCAACAAAUUUGCUUUUUUACAUAACUUUAUUGUUGGUGAGACAAAUCAAUCUGCUGCUGGUGAGCAACAGAUAGAUGAAGAGAUGGGUUGAUGGAUUUUCAGGAAGAAACUAUUCUGAGCCUCUUCACCAGGAUUCCUUUGAUGUCUGGGAAUCAAACACUUUGAGCCGCAUAUAAACACUGUAGAUGAUCGGUUGAAACAUGAUGUGUAUCACUACAUAUGCUGUUAUUGAAUUCAAAGAAACCAGGAUAUAUAAGUUAAUUAAGAGCAGCGGUUCUCUUCAACUCUGAAGGAUUGAAGUAUGAUAUAUGGAAUUGAAGGUUCCUCAACUCUGAAGGAUUAAACCAUGAUAUAUGGAAUUGAAGGUUCCUGUAUGUCUCUGAGAGAUGCAAUGACUGGAGCUGCUGGAGGAAAUACCUGCAAAAAAGUGAUAUGUAAAAUAUAAUGUAUAACUCCAUACUUAUUUAUUAGAACGGAAAAGGUGCAAGUAACAGAAAAGUUCAAAACAAGCACCACACUAUAUGUACAAACAUUGAAGAAAAGACACUCAUACUCGCUUGCUAUGAUGCCACAGUCUCCCCGUCUUUUAAUUAUUUUUCUUUUUGUUUUUUGUUUCUUGCCGAUGCGGGACUCUAUGAUAUAUUAACUAGGGAUGAUUGUGGGUUUGAUUUGAUUUAUUGAUUUAUUGAUGGAUUAAGGAUAAUUCCAGAGGCUGUGAUCUCCUGUAAAAUCCGCGGUGGCAUCUUCCCCUGCCAAAUCCAAGCGAGGAGGGCUGAGAAGCAUCCCUUCUGCCAUAUUCACAAGAAGAUUGGGCAUAUCGAAGAUCAAAUCCUCGUCAACAAACUCAUUAGCCAUUGAUCUGCCUAGUGCUAUUGGACUAAUGGUACUUCCACCCCCAGAUAGAGCAUCCACAGCGGCUCCAGCGGCCGCGGCCGCCGAGGCUGCGGCCACCUGGAUGUCACGUGGAGAGGUGGAUGCAGGAACAGGCAAGGAAGAAGCGGAGUUCGGAAAGUUAAGCUCAGCAUCUUGACCCUUAAGAGCAAGUGCAGCCACAUCAUAAGCCACUGCAGCCAUUUCCGGAGUUGGAAAUGUACCAAGCCAAAUGCGAUUGGGCUUCUUGGGCUCCCGAAUCUCCGACACCCAUUUCCCGCUGCUCCUACGCCUCACUCCGCGGUAAACAGGGUGGCGCCCGGUACCAGAGGAAGCAGCACCACCUCCAUUGACAGAGGCAUUGCUGCCACUGGCACCGCUGCCGCUUGAGUUGGAGUUAGUGGCGUACUUUGAAUAAUGCAUACUGUUGGAUAAAGAGAGAGGGAGAGCAAGAGGGAAUGGCGGGAAGGGUGGUUUUGAAGUUGGAAGUUGGAAGUUGGAAGUUGAAGGGGAGAGGAGGAGGCAUUUAUGGAGGAAGGAUUUGCAGAGUACAAUUGUCCUGCAGUUGAUAGAUUUCAAAGUGCAGAAGUGCAAACCAGUUGUUAAUGAACUGCGCUCUGUGAGGGUUGGGGUGUAAGCCAGCUUUGUGUUGGACAUCUGGGUUGGACUGCGUUUUUGCAGCCAAAAACUGCCUAUCUUAACGUCAAGAACAGUGAUGUUAUUAAGCAUUUACCAAUCUUGAGAGAGAUUUUUAUAUAAUUAAAUCGAGCAACAAUCCAUCAUCAAGAUCUCAAGGUCCCAUCCAAGAGAGAAUUUCUGUAUUGCGUCACUUUGCAUGUGUGGCCCACUGGUAGCCUAUGCUCCCAAUGUCUGCGCUUUGUUGCACUACAUGAGUUAUCACCAAUAGUACCAUCACCAUGCCCCACAUCACUGCUUUCUUUUUCUAUGCCCAUGCCCAUGCCUCUCCCUUCUCCCCUUUGCCCUUGCCCAAACCCUACUCCUCCCACUCUACGCAAUCUCCAAUCCCCUGUUUUAUUAAUUUACUCCUUAUCAUCCUACUCUCUUAGGUUUCCUUGCAUAUAUUAUCCUUCACUUAGGCCAGUAUUUCACUUUAUGUUAUAUCCUUAAUGUAUUCAUAUUCAUAUACCUAUUCUAUAGUUAAAAAAAAAAAAUUCUUCAUAGGAAAGUCACAUAUUUCAAAAUAUUAAUAUGUUGAAUAAAGUUAAUAAGCUUAAGAAUUAGUGUCAUAUAUAUUUAAAUGAAAAGCAAGUCUAAUUAAUUUUUCUUUAAAACAACCUAACUUAUACAAAUGUCAUCAUCCAAUUUAAUAAUAACUUUUAAGGUAUAAUAUUGUUGUUCUCAAAUUUAGGAUAUAAGUCGCUCGAACAAAGGCCCUUAAAAUAGGUUUUUAAGUAUGAUGUCUUAUUUGGCCUACCUCAUCGGACAUCAAUUAAUUUUUCGUUUAUGAAAUGGUCGAAGCUUCAUCCAAUAAUUGAUAUCAAAGCCAGUAUCAUGGGUUUAACUCAUUAAGCCCAAAAAAUGGAUUGCAGGCCAAUCUCUUCAUGGAUUGAAUAAUGUUUUAUGAACUGUUCUUUUCUUUUUUUGAGUGCGAUGCCAAGUCUGAUGGUUUGUAACUUCAGGAAUACUCAAUUUAAUGGUAGCGUGGACGGUGGAAGGGGUGAGUAGUGCGUGGAUCCAACCGUUAGAAUUACCGCCCAAAAAACAUUUUAUUUGCUGGGGACUGGGGAGAUUUCUGAGAUUGGGUUUAGGGUCCACUUUGUUAAGCGGAGGGCACGUACAAGUCCAGGACUAGAAUAUUUUUUGUUUUGCCACUGGCUGGCUCCGGAGUUAGAGUUGAUUUAACUGAGUUUGGACAUCCGAGUAAGCCCACGAAGUUGCGUAAAGAAGUUCAUAACAAUGGCUACCUACCCACUCCCAAGAAUUCAGUAUCAUGUCUAGCUAGCUAAGCCUGAUUUUAAGUGUCGUUUUGAAGUGCAUGAAAUUCCUACAUGAUCGCCCCCUUGACUAAACUGCCCGGGAUAAAAACACCCACUUGUAAGCAACUAAUGUCGGGACCAACUCCACAGUGAAAUAUUAUUAAAUUACUUCAAUGGGGCUUUCUCUUUCAAGGCUGCUAACCUCUUUAUCUUUUCUUUUCUUUUUUUUAUUAAUAAUAUCUGUUUUUUCAUUAGUAAUUCUGGCAAGUGGGUCACGGUAUCUAUGGACAUGGGGGUCCUCAUUCUUGGGACAUCUUUCUAUUUUCAGGGAUGAAGAUUUGGUAGGACACCAUGUAAGGGUAUUUCUACCAAUGAAACCAUGAGUCGACAACAUGUUAUCAUACGCCUUUUUGGAUAAUUAUAUAUCCAAUGUUGAUCCCCGACAGUCGACUGCAUGGUAUGCUUCAGGGUUAUUCACUUGCUAUAUCACCUGAAAAUUUGUCUCACAACACUCCAUCCCAUUAUCUUAUGUUUUCCUUAAUAUUUUAAGCCUAGUAAUCCCAUCAAAGCCAUCCGCAGUGGGCUGGUUAGUUUGCAGGGGUUCUUUGUCAAUUUCACAAAACAAAUAUCUACCGACAUGAAAUUGGAAGGCUAUGGGGCUCUUACAAAUGAAGUUAGUUCAACCAUGCUUUUGUCAAAGCACCUAAGUGUAACCCAAUAUAUAUGUAUACAUAAAAGGAAACAUGCCUUUGAUUUUCAAUGAAAUAGACUUGAAACAAAUAAACACAGGAAGGUCUUUUUCAUUGUUGAUACUUGAUACCUACCUUAGCUAGGAAGCACUGUGGCAGGAAUGUUGAUACAACAAAUAUUUCAAUUUUAAAGCUUUCUUAGUUAAAAGAUUCACUCGAUCGUUACUCCCUUUGGAUUUCCAUUUAUUAAAUGAUGUAAUAUACUAUGAAUAAACAUUUAAGCCAGCAAUUAAUACCAUAUUUACUCAUUUCUUAAUAAUUUGAAAUUUUGUAUUUACUCCUUAGAAAACAACAAAAACAAAUGAUAAUUAUCUGCUUGGGAUAUUUUGUGUUGUGAUGACUGAGCUUUGCAGGUUAGUUGCAAGUGUUUAGAGAAAGCUAUACAUGUAGAUAGAUUGAAAUCAUAUUCUUACUUUCAAGAUUUUGAUUGAAAUCGUAUUGUUGCUUUCACAAUUCCAAUUUAUAUAUAAUAAUUUUGUUUGGAAGGUUAAUUUAGAAAGUUUUUAAAUAUUAGAAUUAAAUUUAAUUUCUACAAGUUAAGAAGAAUAUUUUAUUUUAAUUUAUAUUUUUUAGUAGUUAAUAUGUAAAAUAUUUUUAUAUUUUAUUAUUAGGAGCUUUUAUUUAAUUAAAUACAAGCAUGCAUAAAUAAGAAAUCAUAUAAUAUAAGAAAAAAAGGUUCAUAAAAUAUAGUAUAUUUUGAAUUCUUUUGAAUUUUAUUAUUAUUACUAUUAUUUUUGUAAGUAUUUUUAUUUCUCUAUUAACAUUAUUACUUCAAAUUUCAAGUUAAAGGCUUCCAUUCAUAAUAUUUAGCAUAUGUUUGAGAGUGAUUUUUAAAAGUGUUUUUAAUUUUUUUAAUAUUUGAAAAAUAAAAAUUUUAAAAUCGCUUCCUACAAUCACUGUUAAACGAAUGCGAUGAAAGGAAAGAGAUUAUGUUAAUAUGGAAGGAGUAUAAUAACUUAGUUUGAAGGAUUGCGUGAACUAUAGUCCUAAAAAUAUUUAAGGCCAAUUAUUCUAACUCUGACCAUGCAUAAAUUUUUUUAAAAAUUCAGUAAAUAUUGGGUAGUUAUUUAAAAAACCCUAGGAAGGACUAGUCAGUAUUUCGUUUUAUUUUUUCCCAUUUUAUUUCCCACUCCGUGUAAGCCAAGACGGUUUUGGUAAUGGAAACCAAGGGAGAGAAGCGAGAGGCAAGAGCCCAAGAAGUAAUUAAUUGUAUGAGUUUAAUUAAAGUAAUUAAAAUAAUAAAAGAAAACAAAGAAGGAAAGGAGAUGAUAUCGAAGAAGAAAAUGGCGGUGAAAUGGAGGACUAGGGGGAGUUGAUUUGACUGUGUUCAAAGUCCAGCUGUAGAUACAAGCACCCUAUACAAUUGCAGUAAUAUUCAGAAACGGAAAUGAGUGAGAGGGUGUGAACAGUGGAGAACGAAAAGGGGAGGAAAAGAGACGGUGUACAAGGCGGCUUCGUAGUUGAAUAAGCGCGGAGUUGAAAGAGUGGUUCGCCGUCUUGCGCCACCAACCCAGUGGGACGGAGAAAUCCACGCUUUGAAAGGGACAACUGACGAGGGGAGGCAAAACCCAGAAGACAAAAUAUCAGGGAUUUGGAGUUAUUAGAGGAGUCGGUCUGUAAAGCGCUGAGCAAAUAGGCAUCUCAUUCCUGUAAGCGUGUUGCCGCGUUCUACCUUCGUCUGCGUUGCAGAAGCAUAUCACGUUCGCAGGCAGCCGCUCAGGAAACCCACUUACAUGCGCCUCCGUCUCGUCAGGGCCCAGCCGCAUUCCUCCCUAGGCCUUACUCCUAACUUACACGUCUUAACUCUUUUAUGUUUGGGCUUACUCUAUUUCCACCUAACGUUUCUUUUGCUGGGCUUGGCCCAAUUUCAUGGACGUCCCCUUCGCUCCGCUCCAAACUCACACAUUUAACUCUUUCUUUAUCUUCAUGUUUUUUUUUUUGUUUUUUCUUCUUCUUCUUCUUCCUUUUUUUUAUUUUAUUUUUAUUUUUAUUUUUAUUUAUUUUUAACUUUUUGCUUCUUAAAAUUACCUUCAUCUCCUGUGAGAAUAUAUUUUUCUAACGAAAUUCUAAUUCCAAAAUCAUUCCUAAUGGUAUUUUUUUAAAAAUAAAUAAAUAAAGUGUAAUAGGACAAAAAUAUUUUUAAAAACUUUGAUUAAUUUUUUAUUUUUUUCAAUGUAAAAAGAUUAAAUCAAGUUUUAUUUUACAUAAGAAGAUGAAUUAUUAGCAUUUUAAUAUAAUUACUAAAGUAUUCUUAUUUUAAUAUUUUUAUAAAUUAAAAAGAAAUAAUUAAUGAGACAUAAUCUUUACCUUUUAUUAAGAUAAUAAGAAUAUAAUAUAAUAUUUUUAUUAAUUAAUUUUAAUAAAAAUUUAAAAUAUAAUAAUUUUUUAUGUGAAAUAAAUAGUAUUGAUAUAUAUAUCAACAGUUAGAUUUUAAGAAUAUAUUAGGAUAUAUAGGUGGAAAUUAUGAUAAUAAAUAUUGAUGAAUAAAAAAUUAAAUACUAUCAACAAUUUCAAGAGUUUCAUUAAAAAAAUUGUGUAAAAUAUUUUAUUUCAAGUUAAUUUCUAGAAUUUUAUUAAAAAAAACUGAUGAUUUUUUUUUUUUUUUUUGUGUAUAGAAUUAAAAAUGUUGUAUUGGCUGUUACUUUAUUUAAAUAGUGAAAUAAAUUGGUGAAGAUGUACUUGUUGUUACCGCUUAUAAUGGAAGAUUUUGGUUGUUGAACAGUAGAAGUCUUGACAUUUAAAUCUCUUUGGACGGAUUAAAUUUCACUUUCAAUCCUCCAUCAUGGCUUUUUAAUCUAACUAAAUAGAGAAAGCUUAAGUUUUCCCAUAGAUGGCACCAAUGAAAGAUGCUCAAAAUCUUCUAGGAUAACUAGAAACUCUUGUAAAAAUUCUCAUAAAGGUCCUCCUUCUUGUAAGAAAUUCCUUCUAUAGUUGGAUUGCUUUAGAAUUGCCUAAAUGAUAGCAAAAAGGGAUGAAAUAAAAUCCCAAAUCAAAAUCUAGCUAGAGCCAUCUCGAUCCUCUUCACCUUGGUACAUCUAGGAUAAAGAGGCAACUAGGCCAAAGUUGCCGAUAGUAGGUGGGCUCAUGGGGUAUAACUCGGAUACAAGUGACUAUAAAACAAUGGCACUUCAUAGUGGAGAUGCCUAUCUUUCAGAACAAAGUAGAGUUUCAAAAAAUAUAUGUAUAUAUUAAAAUAUAUAAUAAAAUAAUAAUAAUAAUAUUUGUUAUAUUUGAUUAUAAUAAGGUUUGGAUUUAAUAGUUAUAUUUAAGUAUUAUAAGUAAGAAGAUCUUCUUGGAGCCAUCAAAAAAGAAUAUAUAUAUAUAUAUAUAUAUAUAUAUAUAUAUAUAUAUAUAUAUAUAUAUAUAUAUAUAUAGAGAGAGAGAGAGAGAGAGAGAGAGAGAGAGAGAGAGAGAGAGAGAGAGAGAGAGAGAGAGAGAGAGAGAGAGAGAGAGAGAGAGGAUUUUAAGAAAAGGUUUAUCAACUUUAUUAUUAAAAUAUUUUAUGUAAAAAGAUGAGUAUUUUAAACUAGGAUUAUAUAUUUUUGUUAAAGCACUAAAAAUUUUCACCCAAGUUUUACAUAUUUAUAAUUUGGUUGAAAAUUAAUUUGAAAAUAGAAAGAUCUAUCAGGUAUAAAAUACUACCUUGAACCUCAAGUUUUUCAUGCAAAUCUUUCAAAGUUUUUUUAAAGUAUUAUUGACUUAACGGAAGUAAUUUAACUUUAAAAUUUGUCAAACUAUUGAUUAAAACAUUGAUAAAAAGUGUUCACACAUUUAUAUGAAUUAGUUAAAAAAUGUUUUAACCCCAAAAUAUACGACUUUCCAAAAAUAUUGGGUUAGAGCACAUACAGUGACUAGACGAUCAUCUAGAUGUUAUGCAGAUAUCCAAACAUUCAUCCAAUUAUCAUGUGGAUGUCUAUGUGAUUGUUCACUUACUUUAUUUGUAAUUGUAGCUCUUAAAAAUAAUGUAGACAACAAUUGCAUAUCCAUAUCUAUCUUUUAGCUUUUAACAACUCACUACACCUCAUUAAAUGUUCAACGGCUAGUAUGCAAACAUCUUGCUAUGAAAGACUUAUUUCUAAUGGUUAGUUUGACCUUUUAACUCUUAUAUAAAUGUUCUAAACCUUUAGGUGUGAGUUUUAAUGAACGAGGCGCACUCUAAUUAACAUAUAUAAUCUUAUAUAAUACGCUUGGAAAUGCAUGCCUCUAUUGCUUCUUCUUCUACUAUUUAUCUUCUUUUUCUACUCAAUGGUAGCCAACAUGCAUAAGAUAGGAGAAGGCCUAACUUGGGGUUGGGCCAAUUUUAUUUUAUUUUUUAAAUUAUUUUGAUAGGUAAAAAUGUAAUGUUUUAAGCUACAAAAUUUUAAAGAGAAAAAGGAAAAAAUGACAUUGUUUUGCCCUCCAAAAAAAUAGGACUAAAUGAUGUUUUGCUCAUUUUCUCUUUAAAAUUUUACAACUUAAAACACCACAUUUUUUUUUAAAGGGCCCAACCAAAUUAGGGCUUUCGACUGCAACUUGUUCAUGGUUUGUGGAGGACGAAGAAGAAAAAAAAAGAAGAGAGAAGAAAAGACAUAUCUCCUUGGGAUUUUGCAUAACCUUGUGCCUAUGUCUUUUACAAUUGCGAAUAAGCAAAGAGUUCCAAAAUGCUAUACAAUUAUCUCUUAAGCUUUAGGAAAAUAUUUAUAUGAAUUUGAACUUGCAUUUUAUUCUUAGUUUACCUAAUAAAUCCUUUUAUUCUUAUUAUUCUUUAGCAAAAAUCUAUAAACUAAUCAAAAUUUUAUUUUUUGUAAAUCUUGUGAGAUGAGCUCAAAUAUGAGGUAUCACUUGAGAAAAAUAUCUAAUUAUGAAGUAUCACUUAGUGUUUGAUAAGUAUUAACGAAAGAGAAACAUCUCUUCAAAAAAAUUAUAAAUAUUAAUUGUAGUUUAUUAAUCUAAGUGUAAAGUUUGAAGUUUUGAUUUAAAAACUUUAAUAUAAAUGGAAUCUCAAACUUAAGAUUGACGUUACGGAAGAGUGGAUGUGGGUCGAGAUUGAGUCUAUGUCCAUUGAUGCAUGAUUGCUCGAUCCAAGCUUAUUGGCUUGCCCCUAUAGGACUAUGUAGCAAUCCUUGAAAUUGAUAAUUCAAAAGCCUUGCCAAUACUGACCACUGAUUAAAAUAUCGAGAUAUUUCGACGAAAUAUCGGUGUAUCGGUACAUAUGGAUACAAUAUUUUCAAUCGAAAUAUCGUCGAUUAAUGUGAAACAUUGACCAAGUCAAAACAACUCAAAAAUGAUUUGUUCCAGUUUAAAAUGUCAUACAUAUUGACCAAGUCAAAAUAGCUCAAAAAUGGGUUGUUGCGGUUUAAAAAGGUUGGGGCCAACAUUCACCAACUAUUAUGGCAAGUUUGCCCUUUGUUACUUGCUAUGCACCAUCAAUUUUAGGACAAUCGAUAUUUUGUAUUAAAAUAUUUAUCGAUAUAUUUUCGAUAUAUCCAUAAAAUCAAAUUAUCAAUACUAAUUAACAAUAUUUUUAUCCUCGACACCCUUUUAGUAAGAGAGUCCCUAGGACUAGGGUCAACCCUAAGAUGGGCAUCGCUCUUAUAGGCGAACCAAACCCAUGACUAGAUACAAAGUGAGGAUUCCUAGAAAGAGUAUUGGUACCCUUGUGCCAUACCUAUGGACCGGACUGUUUAGACCUUAAUAGAAGCCCAAGCCCACGAAUCCCAAGUAAGUAUAUCUAGGUACGCCCUAGCCUAUAAAAAAACGUUUAGGGAUACCAAGGCCACGACACCUAGGCGAGCCAGAAGCGAGGUCUCGCCCAAAAAGAUUGCACCAGUUGGCGCGCUUGGAGAAAAAAUAUAUGACCAAAAAGUUGACGGUUAUAAUAAGCAAGACUGCAAGAACUAGCCCCUCCAACUCAGAGGGGAAAAAGUCUUGAUCAACCAAUGGAUGUUUUGACACGAUUACAUGCCCCCUAAAAGGCUCUAGUUUCAUAAUUAGCGGCACCUCCAUGAGAUAUUCGUAUGCUGACACAAUUGCCACCGACCCAAUCAGGGUUGAGAUUACAUAUAAAAGGCAUUUAGGCCAGGGUAAGGAUGUUCCUCUCCCCGCACGUUUUUCAACCUUCAUCCUUUGAGCCUUGCUCCAAUCAAUUCUCAUUGGUUUUCUUCCUUCCUAUAGCACUUCCAUUAAGUGGAGCCUGGAAGAGGCAUUAGUUGAGGACACCCAACCAUAUUAUCCGUCGGAGUUUACCUCGGUGCAGAUGGACGAUUCGUGUGGUCAUCAGGUACCGUUUGGGUGUGGAGUUGCGCUCACCCAUUAAUCAACCAAAACCAACAAUUUUCAUCUUGGAUUCUGAGUGUUGAAUGCAUGUUUUGAAAAACACAAUUGAAGAAACGGUUGUGUAUCAGGAUAGAAGUUAUGAUAGAGGGUUUUGAAUCAUUACAGUGAAGGUGAUGAAUUCGGUAUAGUGUCUUCUAUCACUAUCUGUUCUUGACCCCAUGUGGCCUUCUUUUGCAGACAUAGUUAGGGGCAUCGAAGCUGUCUUUUUCUGGCUGUUCAGUGCACGAGGAGUGUCCAUCUUAUCGCUGUUUUACCUGCUCAUAUUUCAUUGGGGGAAUUUGGCUUGUAUUCUUAUGAUCUUCUGAUUCAAACGGAUGGGUCAAACCAGACAUAUUCCUAAUUACCUGGAAGCGAGAGAGUCAAAGAGCCCAGGCAAGUGGCAUAAGAAAAUACAAUUCAUACUACUACAUUAAGCUAUCUCCAUUUAUGCUCUGUCCAAAACAUCCUUGUUGCUUUGAACUCACAUUUAUAACUGCUGUCAUGUAGUCCCAUUUGUUCAACUUUGCCUUUGCUACUUUUGAUUGACCUUUUUAACUGCUCCUGUGCUGUGCCAGAUCCCCACGUGGAUAGUGAAGCAUCGUCCUUGUAGCAAUAAAGCCAAGAAUGUGAUGUGACUGGCCUUUUUUUUUUUACCCCUUUUUUUUGCUUAGUUUCUCAAUUUCAAUGUGUCUUGGCAGUGCAGUCUAUUGAGACUUCCUUUUCCUGCUGUUGAACCCUUUGAAUGGUAAUUUUUCCUUCUCAUGUUCUCUUUUCAAUUCUUUGGUUGCGGGACCAUGGUGGUAAUUCUAUUCGGUUUUUUCAUAUAACUAAUGGAUUUGUUGUACUGAAUUGCAAAUGGAAAACGCCCGUCAGAAAAAUAUUAUACAUUUACACCUUGGCGUAAUGUGGUUUUGAUUGUUUAUGUUCUAUUCUCUCCGAAUUUAUUUGUAUUUUUCGGGAUCAAUUCUCAGGUAUCUGCAUAAGAUACAGAGAUGAACAUCCAAAUUUUACAUGGCAUCCACAUUGCUUCUGGGCAAACACCCACAGAAAUCACCCAUUGCCUACGAGCAUGAUGUACAUGGAGAGAAAGCAAGAUUCAUUUCCAAGAAAAACAAGUCUCUAGCAUCUCAUUGAAUGGCUGCACCAUAGUUGAAGCUUUCUCUUGAGACAUAAUAAUAUUCCAAGCCAGCAGCCUGCCUCAUUGACCAUUCAAAUUGUCGGUCGAACUGCCUUUGCCUGCAUUCUUUAGGAUCCCAAAUUCCUAUGAAAAAAUGGGGCCAUAUUUUGAUGACAUAACCUACAUUGACCCAAAAUCACACCUUGGAAAUAUUAUCUUCAUAUCAAAGUAUGGUUUUCAUGCAUUUAGUUAGACAGGAAUUUUAGGUGGCAGUUCCCUUCCUGAGGAGAACUCCUGAAAGAGAGACCUCGUUACAGCCUUCAAAAUUUUAUCCAUCUUUGAGAACACCUUGGUCCAAACAAACAUUGUUUCUCAAUCUCGUAAUUUUAUCUCCUCACAAGUAAUAAUUAAACCAACAAAAGGGAACUUUCUACAUUUUUUUUUCAGUCACUUGGAGCCGGACAUAACAAAAACUUGAACCUCUCCAUAACAUUCCUCAGAGGCUAGUUCGAGUGGAAUCAUGCCUUUCUAAAAAAUAUACUCAUAAUUAUAUUGGUACCCUAACUUAAUCCUAUGUUUAAUUGGGUCUCCGAUCUCCAUCUGCGAGUGAUUGUCAUUUUGCAAUAAUAGUGAUAGCGAAGAUAGACUGCAAGUAAAAAGAAGCUUUGGUAGGUUUGUGAUCUAGAAGUCCUAAUGAUUGGCUUUCGGGCAGUUAGAAGCACUUAUUUUCCAUUGAUGAGUUUCUCUAUUUUCUACAUGAUCAAAUAGAAAUAAAUGCUAUUUUAAUUGUCCUACAGUUACCUCCUGUUUCCCCUGUCCUGGUCUCCAUGACUGGUUGGCAUAUUGCUUACUGAAUGACUGGUUGACGUGACUCUUUUUGUCCUGCAACCACAACCUUUUUUGUCAUUUGGUUAACCCAAGUCAAGGAACCUUUAUCCCUGUCAAAUGGGUCAGUUUCACAAUUACCCUCCAGCCAACAUUCAGGUCCCCUUAAGAGUGCAAUUCAUAGAGAAUUUUAGACACAUUAACUAAUGGCCACUGAACGCUCAGAUUGACUGGCAACUGUCCGUAAUAGUUGAAAAAGGAGCAAGUGCUUGAAUUAGUGAGAGCAAUUUCACCAUGUCACUUCAUUGAGGGCCUCUUUUUUCUCUGUCUUUCCCUUAAAAUUCCCAUGUAUUUUUCCCCCUCCAUACUCAUUUCUAUUUUCGUUGAUCCUUAAAACAUCUUCAACCUAGAAUUUAUUGCGCGUUCACUAGUUUUUGACGUAUAUGACAAAAUCAUAUCUACAAAUUGGGUUAUUUCUUAGCAGCAGGUACUAUAUUACUUCCUGAUUAAUGUUUCUAUUUCUAAUACUACACUUGUCUUGCCCUUCAUUUUGUCUGCACCUUCAUUUAGGUUGUGUCCGAGUAUGUUGAAAACAUGAUCUCUUUUGCAACUACCAUAUAAAAUGCUUUCUAUUUUUACAGAACUAUGUUGAUCUCACAACUCUCAUGAAAGUGCAUCUCCAAUGGAGGGAGCACCCAUUUGAUUUAUCAUGUCUCUCUUCCUGGGGCCUGGGGCCAUGUUCAUUCAGUUGCCUGACAUCAUGUUUUUCAUUGCUAAAUCCCCAUAUAUAGUCUUUGGCUUUCAUCUGGAUACGAUGGUACAGUUUUUUGAGAUAAAGACAAGGGCAUUCCAAAAGUCCAUUUGUUUUAAUUUUCUGGUGGAAUGACACUGAAUGUUAUUGUAUAUGAUUGAUUUAGAAUCGCCUAGAUGAUAUUAUUGGCUAGAGUUGUUACUUAUGGUUCAAAAUGUGCUUGGCCGCUCUGGGCUUCAUCCGUAAGGCCCAAAGCCUGUCUGAUCCGACCCUGACCACUGCCUGCUUGAAAAUAUCAGGCUGAGCUUGGUGUACUGAAUCUCAACGGAAAAAGGCAGGGAAUUUUAGGGCUGCCAAUGAAAGAACCAAGCUGAAGAAUUGGUUUUUCUGAGCUUGGCUACCAGAAUUAAUGAGCUUCAAAAUAAAAUGGAGCUCAACUUAUUUUCAAGGGAAUAAUUAUUCUUAAAGAGGAUCUGAACGCCCUCUGUUUGACUGAAAAUUUUUAUUAGGUCAAAAAUGGAGAGAUACUAUUUACUUAUUUCUUUUAUGGUUUUGAAUUUCUUUGUUGGAUAAAGUGGGUUUUUAAAUGGCUUUUGCAUUUAUGCCAUUCCCAUGGUCUUUUGGUUUUGUUUCACCCCUUCUGUUACAGGAGAGACCUACCACUUUUCAUGAGUCAUGAGCUUAUGAUAUGUUCCUCAAUUUCACUCCUAUGUAACCAAUACCAGGUCCGCUGUGCUGAUUUUGAUUUAGUGCCAUACCAAUCCAAACCCAUACACCUCCAACCCCACCACUUACCCAGUUUCAAAUCAAUAUGGGGAGUGGGAUUCUUAUGCUCUCUAUUUUGUUCUUAUUUGGCUUGGCCGGCUGGCAAUGGAUACUGUACUGCCAGGUCCAGCCAGGAUAAAAUCCCCCUUUUAGGCUUUGGAUCUCAAAACAAUGGGGGAAAGGAUAAAAAGCAAAUGAAAGUCAAUACUUUUCUGUUUGAUUGGGAUGAAAAUUAAGGUGAAAAAGUAUGCAUGGCAGAGGCUGAUUGGGGAGGGGAAAUUACUAUACAUUUUGAGACCCACCUUUUUUUUUUAAAUAAUAAUAAUAAUAAUAAUAAAAGAAAAACCCAAGUAAUGAAAAUUGAAGAAAUGGUGGAGGGAAAUUUUGUUAGGGUCAAAAAUGUAUUUUGGUUUUACUUAAUGUUGAUUACUGUUUUCUGUCUCUAAUCCUUAUUAUGAUACUUUUUGAAAACCAAAAUCAUUCUUCAUAUUUUUCUUCUUCUCUCAGUGAUGACAAGAAGCUUAUUACACUGAAAUAUUAUUGGAAAAAGGGCGUAAUAUCCAGCAAAUGUGGUUGAAUUGACCGGUUUUUGUGCUCAAAUUAGUGACGAACACCUGUCUGCAUUGGAUAGGAUUUGAUGAUUCGAACAAAGAUACUUUACCAAUAAAAAGAUACUCCUUUCAUUAGUACUUAAAAACUUUCUUAACUUUCUUAUGUAUCAUGAUUAAGCUUUUUUAGGUUGACAACUCACUCUCAUAUAUCGAUGAGACAACUUUUAAAAAUGCAAUCAACCAAAAAGGGAGGCCUGGUUGGAAAGCUCGGCGGUUUAUGCCCUUGUGUUUUCCGGCCAGUAAUCAAAUCCCGGUUUGACUACUCCUGUCCUCUCCACUGUCUCUUUACUUAGUGCAUCCAUUGGCUUCGCUCGACACCCUCUUUUUUCAUAUCCCAUAACCACUUGCCCAGACCCUUUAUUUCAUGUUAUAAUUAUUGAACAAUCCCCUCUUUGAGAGGCAUCAUUUUCAUGCAUAUGGGGUCAGAACCCCCAUCAUCAAACCUUGGUCCCACAAUGGAUCUCGAUGAAUUGUGAUCCUCCAUCAUCGGAUGGUGACAACCAUUCAUCAAUUGAAUUUUAAAGAUAACGAGUGAUUGCAGUCCUUGAAAAAUAAGCUUAGCUUUUUUACUCGGCUGGUAUCCAGAAUUCCUGCUGAUGGACUCUUUAUGAGUUGCUUUAAAUUUAGAGACCUUUCAUCUGUUUGUCCCAUAAAUCUUAGAGCGGCCCACCCCCCUGCAAUUGCAUGUCAUAUGUCAUAAAAUUGACAUACAUUCUUGGUAUAAACCUAAACUUAACAUAACAUAACAAUUGAUAACAUUUUUUGCAAUUUUUACACAUGAUAAUAAUUGCAGAGGCUCAACUUUGGGGCCAUCACAAAAUUCACACAUAAAGCAUUUAUGGGGAUUUUAUCAGGAGCAACAGUUUUAUGUGUUGCUUUGGGUGCAGAAUAGAACUGUGCAGUAGUACCAUUGCUUCGCUGUACAGGUGCCGUCUGCCAUUCAUGUGGACAUGGUUUUGGUUCGGACUCCCACAUUUAAUACUACUACUCAGGUCUUGGAAGGUAAAUGAUUUCACCGUUCACUUCAAUAGUGGAUGCUUACAAACCAUCUCUGAGAGCUAAGUGCAAUUUGGCAGGACGAGGGUAUAUAUGAUGGUGUCUAUGUAUAUGUGCCAUUUUGUUUUUGCCACAUCUCGCAUAUAGAGUGAAGGUAAAAAGGAAAAUUGGGGGCAAGAAAAUGAUUCACUUAUUUCUAUUUUUGUAAUUUGAAUUUUUAUUUUUUUGGUUGAAGACUUGGAAGCGGGGGUGGGAUUAUUUACAGGUGCAAGACAUGUCUGCAACCAGAAACUUGAUAUUGCCGCGUAGCGUAGAAUGAAAAAGGGGAAGGGGGCUAGUUAAAUAUUAUGACAUAAUGAGAGAAUCUGAAGAAAGGAGUUGUCCAUGGGAUUGCAAUGAAAACUUUUCAUCAAUUCCAUUUCCAUCUAAUCCAUCCAUCCGUCCAUUCGAAAACUCAACUCUCAUCAGGAAAUGAUAGCCAGCUAACCGACCUCGGACCCCACCCACCCUGUAAUAUUGACUGUGAAAGACAAAACCUCACCUUGCUAAAGGGCCUCACCUUCUCUUACUAAUAAUUCAGUUUUUAAAGGAUGCCACGUCAGGAGGGGGGUAGGGGGGGACUGGGGAGUAGGGUGGGGGGGUGCAGAGGUGUUGUGUAGCAGGGGUUGGCAGGGGGAAGCAGGAGGAGCAGAAGCAGCAGCAGCACCUGAUCAGCGUGGAUUAUGGGCCACUCGUGCAUCUUUUGUUGCAUGGAUGGAACGUUCUGCUCUUCCUCCUUCAAAAGCAAGCUAUCAGAUCUGAUUUCAGUCCAUCCCCUCCCUCAGUCCCACUCAGAUUCUUCUCUCUAUUACCCCUUCCCCCACUCUUACCCCCCUCUGUUCCCUCUGCCCCUCGGUUCCGAUCCCCAUACCCAUCCUUACCACCCUCGCACCUAAUUAUCUCUUCAUCAUCACUCUCAUCAUUCUUUUUUUUAUUCAUAAUUUACUAUGUUUAGGCUCCCACUUUUUCUUUUUCUUUUUUCUUUUCUUUUCAUUUUAUUUAUUUUUUUUUUAAAAAAAUAAUAAUUAUAAAUAGAAAUUUGCAUGCUGUUAUUAAAAUAGAAUAGACAAACAGGGUAAAAGAAGACGCACACUGCAUACCCCUUUAGCGUAGCGAGAAAAAAGGAUUACGGAAUUAAAAGCUGAAAAGAACACGAGAAGUACUGCAGCCGUGAUAAAUGGAAAAGCCUAACAUGUAGUAUUUUAUAGUACAACUCACUGUCACCCGUACGGACCGGGACCUAUGCAUGCAUCACCGUCAAUUCCCUGCGAUCACAUGUAGCAGAUUCAACCCUUCUCUUCAUCUUCAUUAUUCACCAAUUCACCAAUUCACCAAUUCACCAAUUCAUUCUUAUAUACUAUUUCUUUCUGUCUCUUUACCCAUAAUUAUCCCUCUUUUUUGUAUUAUGUGAUUGGCAUAACCAUUUCUAUCCGCUGGCGGGAGGGUUUGUUAUUUGUUUAGGGUCUUCUCUUACCCAAAACAACUAUUAUCAUAGCCAUACAGCACCAGUCUGUAGUCUUCCUUGAUUAGCUUUGUCUUUUGCUGAAAAUUGAGGCAUUAAAACAUAAGAGAUAGUAACAAUUCUAAUUCACCCCCAAACCCUCCUUAAAAUUGGAGAAACCUGACUUUUGAACUCUUUAAAGCAGAGGGAUGACAUUUUAAUAUGGUUGACCUUGACCCAAGGUUUUGGAUGACAUAGAAGGCAGAUUGAGGUUCAUUAAAAGGAGAUAUGUACCCAAAGGACAUCCCUUUAAUCAAAAGGAUGUCCCAUGUUUUCAAAACUGUUUAUACAGGUAAUGCAUAGCAUAUACCCUAAAAUCAAUCCAAUGCACCAUGCUUUACAAAACAGAAGCAGCAUGUUCUCAGAGUUAAUGAAUUUGGUCCGGGUGAACUGUGUUGGUUGCUAGAGAGGUGAAAUAGUCCCAAACGGUGUAAUAUGAAUAUUUAGGAGUUUACCCCUCUCGUUUCUUCCUAUAGCCCAUACGUAUAUGAAUAUUUAGGAAAGAGGCUUUUUAGGCCAAGUUUGAUCCCAUUCCUCAGAAGGCAACCAUCAAGUUAGGUUAUGGUAGGGUGUUUGAAUGGCGUGGCAAGCAGUGAUGGGAUGAUUUGGUGGGGAAGAUGUGAUUGAUUCCAUAUUGGAUGGUAUACGUAGAGAUAUAUUGGAUAUCUGGAGACUGGAUACAAGGAUAGAGAUAGAGCAGGAUGUAGAUAGGGAGGGAAGGAGGGAGAGGACGGUCAAAAAGGAAGGAUCCUAGGCACUGUACACGCGUCAGCAAGGCACCACUCCUUGUACUCAAUUCGUCGUCUUCUUUGCGACACGUGUCUCGGGUUUAUUAGUCACUACGUCUACCUUGGCUACCGUCUCCAAUCCUGUGUUGUGUUUUAAGGAGAGGAGGAGUAUGUUAAAUUUUAAAAUAAUAAUAAUUAAAAAAAAUAAAAAUAAAAAUAAAAAAAAGGAAAAAACAAAGCAAGAGCGAGUUGUAGGAGAGUAGCAGUAGACUUUUGAACAAAAAAAUGGGACCAAUGUCCUGGGCAUAAAUUGGAGGUUUUUCGUGGACGACACGAUCCGAGUCUAGCGCUCCUCCAUCUUUUCUCUCUCUGUUAAAAGGAAAAAAGCUCUCAUCUUUUUUUAGCCAUUAGUCUUCAUAUGGCAAUGGAAGAUCAUCAUCACUAUGGCAUGGCUGAUCUACGCCAGUUCAUGAACACCAGACCCCAUUUUCCGCCUAUUCCACACCACCCAGACCUCUUCCCCGCCCAUCAUCACCACCGAACUCUCACUCCAGCUCAACCUUACGACUUGAUGAUGGUGGGUCGUCAAGUUACUCAUGACAUGAUGUCUCGAGGCCUUCAUGAUUUUGUUACUGAUUCUGCCGCUCCUCCUCCUACUACUACUGCGACCAACACCAACACUGUUGUGCCUACUUCCAAUGCCACUCUCACUGGCUUAGAUGCCGACGCCGCUUGCCUGGGAGGCGAUGCCUCCACCGGAAGGUGGCCCAGACAAGAAACCCUCACCCUUCUUGAAAUCAGAUCUCGUCUUGAUUCAAAAUUCAAGGAGGCAAAUCAAAAGGGUCCAUUGUGGGAUGAGGUUUCAAGGUAUACCCUAAUUCAACUUAUUAGAUUUUUUUUUUCUUUAAAUUUUUGUGUCGGUUGAGGUUUUUUUUUUUUCUUCAUCUUUUAUUCAAACUUCUUUUUUCUUCAUCUUUAGUUUCAACUUUUCAGUUCACUGGUUUUGAGUAAGAAAAAGUUGAUUUUUUGGUACAAAAAAUUGCUGAAUAUCUACUGCACUUAGUCCAUCUUACACCCGUCGAGUUCAGUCUUCACUUUCUAUGCAAAAAGAAUAGGUUGCCUUUUGUAUGCUAAGCUACACAUUUACUGUGAAAUAUCUACAGAAGCCCCAAACAAUCAUCCUUGUUUUGAUAGUUGCUAAGCAACAAAAGCACAUAAUAUUAAUUGUGCCUCUAUGAAAUCCUUUGUGGCUGCUUUAUAUUAUUUUCUUAAUUAGUUGGUUACUUCAUUGAUUUGUCUUAUUUUUAUUUAUUUAUUUUUUUUUUCUGUUGUAGGAUAAUGUCCGAAGAACACGGCUACCAAAGGAGUGGAAAGAAAUGCAGAGAAAAGUUUGAGAACUUAUAUAAAUAUUACAAGAAGACCAAGGAAGGGAAGGCUGGAAGGCAAGAUGGUAAGCACUAUAGAUUCUUCCGACAGCUUGAAGCCCUCUAUGGAGACACCAGUAAUGCGGUCUCAGUCCCAGAAAAUCACCUUGCUGGAAGUAGUCUCACAUUCCAUACUGCAACCAACCUUAACAUAGCCACACAGAAUCAAGAAAUCUUUCAAACCCCGAAGCUUUGUGAUAGUCUUAGCCUCUCUAACUCCUCUGACUUUGAUACUUCCUCUUCUGAAGAUGAUGAUCACAAUAAUACUGGGCCGACGGAGAAUGGUUCAACCGACAAGAAAAACAGGAGGAGUCGAAGGAGCUGGAAAGUGAAGAUUAAGGACUUUAUUGACUCACAGAUGAGGAAGCUCAUGGAGAAACAAGAGGCAUGGUUGGAGAAAAUGCUGAAGGCUCUUGAACAUAAGGAACAAGAGAGGAUAUUAAGAGAGGAAGAAUGGAGGAAACAGGAGGCGGCUAGGUUAGAUAGAGAGCAUAAGUUUUGGGCCACUCAGCGAGCAUGGAUUGAAGCUCGUGACGCUGCUCUGAUGGACACCUUGCAAAAAUUAACUGGUAGAGAGCUAAAGGUUCCAUCUCCAGAGGAGCUAAUGGCAACCCAACACCGAAAUCCUGGGGAAAGGCAGAAUGAGAAUGGAAGUGAAACAGUGAGCAACUCCGUGAAGGGUGACAGCUGGCCAGAAUCUGAGAUUACAAGGCUAAUGCAACUGAGAACCAACAUGGAAUCAAGGUUUCAGCAAGCUGGGUCUUCAGAAGAGGUUCUCUGGGAGGAUAUUGCAGGCAAGAUGGCUUGCUUGGGGUAUGAUCGGAGUGCCAUAAUGUGCAAAGACAAAUGGAAUAGCAUCAAUAAUUAUCUUCUGAGAACCAAGGAGUGUAACAAGAAACGCAAGGAAAAUUCUAGAAGUUGCACUUACUUUCUGAGCAAUGAAACAUUAUACAAUCAAGGAGGAGCCUACUGUGAAAUCAGUGAGCCAGGCCCGGAGAUGGCCAGACUUCAACCUAAUGAGGGCUCCCCGCCUUCUAAUUCUAAUGCUGGCAGUGCAGUGCCUGAUAGCUGCUUUCGCUUCCUGAUGGCGGAUGGGAAUCUAUGGGAGAAUUAUGCCUUGAAGCUCAACAAGGGAGACAACCAGUGAGUUAAAAACAAAUGACAAUUUCUGAUCAGGAGGUAUGUAAAGUGAGGGACAAGGUGGCUGACUUGUUGAGAGGCAAGGGAUUUGAUAAUGCUUCUCUUUAGAUGUGGGACAUACUAUGUCUAAGCAAGUAGCUGACUGAGAAUUUAUAUAUAGAGAUUUGAUGUUUAAUGGGGUCUUAGGGGAUGAACAUUUCAGGAGGAAAAAUAAUGGAUUUUUUCUCAUGAGUUUAAUAGGGAGAGGAGUCUCAAUAUUGAUCUUCAUUAUGGGGUUUUCUGAAACUUUCUUUUUAUGCCAAAAUUUUCCUUUGUACAUGCAACUGGUUUUAUCUGUUUUUCUUCUUUUUUUUUCCCUCAUUUUUAUCUUCUCUAAUUAUCUGGGAAAUACUAGGAUUAUUAACUUGUCUUUUUUUUUUGACUUUUAACUUACUGAAUUACAGGUUAGCAACAUGUUCAUGUGUGAGUAUAUGUUUUAGAUCUUUCUUAUUUUAAAUGAAUUUGUAGUUGAUUAUGAGCAAGAUUCGCUCUUUAAACUUAUUGUUCCAGGACUCCCUAAUUGCCCCUUCUAUAUUAAUUAAACUCUGUCACUCUACUCUACUAGACUGCAUGUUUUUGUUUUUAAGCAUCAUGCUAAAAAUACAUUUACUUUGGGGCUCUUUAGGUAAGUUUUCUCUAUUUCCCAGUUGAAAAAGGACACAUUGCAGCUGAAAUUGGGCAGUAAAAUUGAUUUGGAAAUUGAAGAUCACAGUUUGGCUUCUCUGAUGGGACUAACGUUUUAGGCAGUGCAAUCAACGAGAAUUUUCAGGCAUUAACAAAACAAGAAUGCCGGUCAAAUAAGUACCAAUUCCUUUAUUUGAAUUGAUGGUAGGGACUGGGUAGCUCUUGAAUUGACCAUUAUGAAUGAGAAAAUUAAAUUUAGGUAAAGAAACAACCAUGCUAAGCUCCCAUGCAAAACUACAAGCCAACUUAUAUGUUCAGCGAUGUUGAAUUGUGAUGCAGCAGGAGGACUUAUACUGAUCACCUUUACCCUUUCUUUCAUGCCAUUAAACAAUGGUUUUGUUGCUAAUAUCAUAAGAAACAAGAGAACCUAGUUGUCACUCACCAACAGAAGAGAAACCAAGAAAAGAAAUAUAGAAACACUACUUUUAUGAGCCCUAAACCUUUCUUUUCCCUUUCGGUCCUAAUCCUUUGAAACCCAUCCUCAAACUAGCUAGAAUAGUAUUGAUGAAUGUCCUAAAACUAAAAGAGAAAGCACAUAUGUAUAUUCCUGAUCACUUACUGCAGAAAUAUGACGCUUAACACAACAUUUGCAUCCCCACUGAUCAAAUGGAAAUCUCUUAAGCCAAUGAAGCCUCCCCUUCAGGAAGAUGAAAUCACAGUAGUCUACACCGAAUGGUAUGCUUGUGACCGACAGAACAUACAAAUAAAUAAUGGUAGCUUGCAUUAGGCGAUUAAUCUAUGGACAGAUAUAGAAAUGGCAUCCUUCAUUUUCUACACGCUUGUCAUGUUCAUUGAGGUGUCUGUCUAAUUUCAGAUGUCAUUGAACUUCAACACAUGUUAAUCAAACUUCAAUAUUUAUUAGGUUAAUCAACCCUGAAUAAAUGCCAUUAUGUUCAAAAUUCAAAUUUUCAAGAUGGGAUUUACAGAUACUAAUAAGCGGGGACAUCCACAAAGCAUGUGUGCAUUAUGGUGAUAUUUUCAAGGUUGCAUUUGGUGGUAGAGGUAUAAGGUACGUAGUGGUGUUGGUAUGGCAGCCUGAUGAUCAUGGUGAUGGUACCCAAAUUUAGUACCCCAUAGGCAAGAACAGAAGACUACGGUCUGGCAAAGCUUUAAUAAAAAAAAUAAAAAAUAAAAAGAAAGUGAAAUAGAAGUAUUUUAAAACAAUGUCAAGAUGAGGGUCGUGAUGGUCCAAUGAUAGUUUGGAAGUGUGACGGGUCAUGGAAAACUAAGAUGUAACCCUAGCCUGUAAGGUCACUUUUUCUUUGGCAAAUAAAUAUUUGAAAUGAAAACUUUUAAAUCAAGACUCAAACCUGUCAUAGACAUUUCAUCAAUAAAAAGGCAAAUAUAUUUUAAAUGCUAGUCUUCUUAAACACAAUUUUUACCAACUAUUUUUUUUCCUUAUAGAUAUAGAGAGAGAUGAAGGUGAAGGUUGUAAGGCUUGGCUUCAAAUAAUAGAAUAGAAUAAAGGAAUGGGUGGGGAGAGGGGGCGUUUGAGGACUUAUUACAUGAUGAACCAGGGGCAGGGGUGAUUUAACUUGUGGACAGGAACUGCCGUACUUGGGAAAGAGUUAAGAAGCUUCCCCCAAGAAGAGCCAAACAAAGGGGAGACAUUACAGUCAUUAUCACAGUGAAGUAGCAGAGAGCUUUCCUUCUUUCAUCAGCUUUUCUUUUAUUUCUUUCCAUCUCUCUCUUUUCCUCUUUCCUGAACCCUGAACUCAGCUUGCUUGCUUGUCCCGAAGCCUAUGGACAUUAGCAGUUAAAAGGAAAUCCAUUUGCGUUUCAAUUAUUGAAAAUAUAAAUGAUAUAAUGUAAGUAUUGUUAUACAGCUUUCUAGUCUUUAUUUUACUUUGCUGGUGCAAUUGAUUUGACUAGCUACUCCUCCAGCCAUCUUCUGACAUCCCCCUUCCUCAUCUUUCUUCCUUUAUUCAUAUCCCAAAUUUGGAAUUCUCCUGAUUUCAAUAUUUUUGCCCACAAAUAGCAACCCCUUUCAUUUCUAAUAUUUUACUUCCCCUUUUUCUCUUUACUAAAAUAGUAAAUUUUUAUUGGGCUCUAUCUUUUAAGCCUAAAGUUCCUUGUUCUAUACUAUUUUUUACUCUUUUCUAACUUGAUAGCCUAAUAUACAAGAUUAGCACAAUUUCUUAUUUAAUUAAAUUUUUCCCUUGAAACAGACAGGGGCACCAUGCUAUUCAUUUACCCAAUGAACAAAAUAAUGAGGGAACAACAGAAUUCCCAGUAUUUCACAAAUUCAUCAUCCAAAUUUUAUGUACAAGCCCAUGUGAUAUAGUAAGAGUAUAUAUAUUCCUUUAAUGUUUUAAGAGAAAAAAACAGGCCCAAGGGCCCAACUUUGCCUUAGGCCCAGUGAAAUUCAGCUAUGUAGGCAAAAGGCCAUAGCUAUCGGCUUAUGAACACAAAAACAAAUGAAAGGCCACCACGAAAUACGGAGCCCAUCUACAGACCCUACACAUGGGUUUUGAGGUUUCCAACCUGCUAAAAAAGAUCAAAAUAUAAUUUACAUCCUUCUUUCCCCCUCUUCUUUAGGUGCCAACUUCUUGUUUAGAGAAGAUAAACAAUGGAAACUGGGCGAGGAAAAUCAGAUGGACGAGGGAGCUGAGGAAACCGCAAGGCCUAAAUUAAGAUUUUUGGCCAGUAGGCUUCAUUGGCUAGUCCCCACUAUUUAAACGUUAACAGAUGAUAAAAUCCAGAACACAUUUACAUCCACGCCCUACUGACUAAGAUCAGAAAUUCAAGAAAAACACACAAGUGGCUCUCUGAGACUUACCCCAUAGCUGCUUCUACCGGCACUGCCCUGGGAGUGGAGGUAGAAGAGAAAAUCAAGGGAUUUGUUUUGUCCCAAAAAUAACAAAUAAACUAUUGUGUGAAAACCUAAAAUUAAUACUCGCAAAAGCGAGGCAGAAUAUUAUAGUGUCUCACCAUUGUUUUAUCAGCUGCAGGCCUGCACCUAAGCAACCAUCCAAACGAAAGUUGGGAAAGAAAAGGGGGUGUGUAACACGUGCGAGGGUUGGCUUUCUGGUCGUGAGUCAUGACGGGCUGAAAUUAGGAAGUGGCGUGAAUCCUAAUCACUUUAUAUUGAUGCUUCUUUUCCAAGUUUUUUUAUUAUCAAACCACCCACCAUAACCCCCUCCAUUUUCCUAAAAUUAAAGGUUAUUCUAUGCUAUGUCCUACUAGUUAUGACCAUUCCGAAACGCCCAUGUCACCAAAAUGGUUCGACUCCUGUCUCAUUAACAUUUUUUAAAAUUUUUUUUACUUCAGUCUCUCACACAAUACUUCUACCCUAUUCUUGUUUUGGGGCUGGUUCAAAAAACCAUCUUGUUCUCUAGUGCAGCUUAAACAAUAUUCGGGAAGAUCAAAAUCUCAUGUCACAGAAAUUAUGGUUGAUAACAGUCUAGAGGUUAAUAUUCAAAGCUUCAUAUCCUCCUCAUUAUACGAUUCCAAAUUCUAUAGCUUUCAAAGCGAAUAUUAGAAGGCUAUGAAUUAGGGUAAUUAUGUUCAUAUUUCAUUACGAGGGUCACACAAUUGGACCCCGAUAAGAAGCUUUCAAAGUGAAUAUUAGCAGGCUAUGAAUAAGGGUCACACAAAUGGACCACGAUGAGGAGGAAAAAGCAAAGUGCAUUCUAACCACGGCAGUGAUUGUUCCAAAUGACAAUACUUUAUAUAUUAAAGGUGGAAAAACACAUUAACAGAGUUUUAAUUGAAAAGCGUUCAAACUCAACAAGGCAACAUCGCUCCUCAAGCUGAUUAUUCUACCCCCAUUCAACUACAAGCAUAAAAAGAUCCGGAAGACAACGAAAAACACCCUAAACCUAUGAUGCCUGAGAUGAGACCUUUAAUGUCCCCCAUACCUGCACUGCAUAUACUCUCCAGAGAAAAACAGAAAAGCAAACCGAACCCAAAACUUCAUCAGUACUUGUAGUCCUUGACAUGGAGGCUUUCCGCGGCACCCUCUCCAAGUUUGGCAUCACCCUUGUAGGUUCCAAGAGUGGCCUCAGAGUUUGCCUUGCACCUUACCAGGAAUGCUCCCCUGGCCUUCACAACAUUUUCCUCCUUUCCUGACCAGGCCUUGAGAGUGCUCUGCUGAAGUGCACGUCCAAAGGAGAAGGACAGGUUCCAUGGCUUCUUCCCCUUGAGCUUGUUCAUGGCAUUGAGGUUGAGAGUGGCCUCCUCCUCACUCUGCCCCCCAGACAAAAACACAAUAGCAGGAACAGCUGCAGGCACAGUUCGCUGGAGGGUCCGAACAGUGUACUCGGCCACCACCUCUGGGGAAACCUUCUUGGCUUCUGAUCCAGGAGUCACCAUGUUAGGCUUCAACAGAGUUCCCUCAAGCAGAACGUGAUGGUCAUUCAGUGCUUUGUAGCAUGCUGCCAGAACACGUUCAGUUACAUAAGCACACUUUUCAAUAUCAUGAGGGCCAUCCACCAGGAUCUCAGGCUCAACAAUGGGGACAAGGCCAUUCUCCUGGCAGAUCAUUGCAUAUCUUGCCAACCCAUAUGCAUUUUCAUGGAUUGCCAACUCAGAUGGCUCAGUAGGGCCAAUCUUAAGCACAGCACGCCAUUUAGCAAACCGGGCACCAGCUGCAUAGUAUUUUGCACAUCGUUCACCAAGGCCAUCAAGACCCUGGGUGGUAGUUUCACCAUCAGUGCCAGUAAGCACAACUGUGCCCUUGUCUACUUUGAUUCCGGGAAGAACUCCACCUUCCUUCAUAACAUCCACAAAGGGUUUGCCUGAAAUUUAAAAAAGACAAUUUCAGUACAUCUGGAAUCUUAAGUUCCCAGGUGGGGGGAGAGGACCCACUCAAAUAAUGAAUUUUUUUUCUUCAAUUAUUUAGAGAAACAUAAAAAUAUCGCAGGUAUUAUACUCAAUUUCACAAAACUUGUGUGCAUUGGCAAAUAAUUUCAUCAUACUCCAUACAUAACAUAAUAAAAUAACUUAAUGAACAGAACUCACAGAAAUAUCACCCUACAUCUAAAAUCUCAACAGAUAAAAAUACAAUACCAGAGGCAGUCUUCUGAUAGAGAGUCUCCUCAAAGAGGAUCACUCCACUAAGGUACUGGAGGGCACCAGGAGUGCAGAAAAGGAGCUCACGGAGAGCACGCCUGUUUCCUUCAACAUUCUCGACAUUGAUGCUAGCUAGCCUCUUGCCAAUUGUGCCAGUUGACUCAUCAGCAGCAAGAAUACCCUUUCCAGGAGUGCCAAUGUAGGCAGCAUUGGCAAUAAGCUCG
rnacentral:lncRNA from 1 species